rnacentral:lncRNA from 1 species
UAUGGUGUAUUCAGGUGAAGGCAGCUGAUCGCCCCUCCAUGACAAAAGUUUUGGAAAUGUUAGAAGGGAGUAUUGACGAUUUGCAAAUGCCUCCGAAACCUUUCUUCUCUUCUUCUCAACAUAUCUCCGGAAGAGAGAUUGAAUCAGAUUCUUCAACAGAUUUGGUAGUGUCUGAAUCGAUUGAGGAAUGUUCUUUCAAUGAUAGUUAUGCUUAGUUUUGGCGAUGAUACGUGUAAAAAAGAAAUAAAUUGUCCUUACGCUACCAGAGCUUCUACAACAUUAUGUUGAAAAUUUUCAGUACGAUUCAUUGUUUGUUGUGAAUAUUCCAAUUUUGCUCAUAUCGACGAGAAUAUGAUGUAGGUUUGUCAUGUGAUCAUGUGCAUUUAUCAACCUUUUGCAGUGCUGCUUGCUGCAUAUCUGAUUGAGCAAGAGUAUGCUUUGGACGCUUUGCUCCUGCUGAACUUAAUUUAAGGUACUAUUACCAAAGUAUAUGGCAGACACCUAAAUAUCACCAUGCAUCUAAUAAUUCCAUCUCACAACAGUGGUGAAUUAAAAGGCACAUAAUUCCCAUCAAUCCUGAACACACCCUUAGUCUCACACUGAUAUAUCAUGGUAAGCGGAGGGUAGCUGCUAGGAAUUACCCGUUGUCUAAAGAACAACGUUACUUACUGAUCUUAAAAAUAUAAUUUUCUCAUUUCUUUGCCUAUAAAUGACUUUCAACUCUCACUAAAAUCUAUAUCACAAACAGCAAGUCUCAUCCUGUUCCUCCAUGCAUUUGAUAUUGGCAGAUAUUGAAGUUGACUAUUCUCUUUGCGGUUACCAUUGACUUAGAAAAAGGAGAAAAGAAAGAAGGAAAGAACAGAAGAAAUUAAAAGAAACCCAUUUUCCUACCUUUUUCCAUGACAAAUUGACAAUCAAACUCUGCUCUCCCUCAUUACUCCAACAGCAUAACUCAAACUCGGCUCUCCCUCGCCCUCCAUGUCCCUCGUAAUGAGUUUAAUAGUUCUCUUCCUCUUCUUACCUUACACAUGUACAUUGGCCAAAGCUUCUGCAGAAGACAACAAGACAGAUAAAUAUGAAUUCUGUCAACCAACAAGAUGCAGCAAUAGGAGCCCAAGUAUCAGAUAUCCCUUCAGACUCAAAACUCAACCAACAUAUUGUGGCCUUGAAGGGUUUGAAUUGUCAUGCUUAAGUGACAAGACGAUCGUGCAUCUUCCUUUCUCUGGUGAUUAUUAUGUCCAUGAAAUUUCUUAUCUGGACAGCAGUAUUAACAUUGCAGAUGUGAAUGAGACCGCAAGCCCGUUUCAAAGCCUUAUCUCUUUCAACCUCACAAACUCCAAGUUCUUUUUUCUUCACUCUAAUGAAAGUUACGCUUUAUAUAACUGCACUGAGAAGGCUUCCCCAGGAUGGACUUCAUAUGCAAUUUGACCGAUCAAUUGUCUUAGCAAUGAAAACAAUCAUGUGUAUACCAUAGAUAGCAAUUAUUCAAUGGAGUACAUGCCUCCAUCCUGCAAAAAAUCUCGAACAGUUGAGAUUCCUGUUGGAUUACCUCUCCAGGAUGUUGCUACGACGGCGAGGCCAACUCCAGUAGUCUUAGGAUGGGAAGCUCUUCAUGUAUGUCACCACUGCGAAUAUUCAGGGAGUUAUUGUGGGUUCAACACUACAAGCAAUUCGACAAUCUGCGUUGCCGUUAAACACCAAAAACGUAAGUAACCAUAUCUUUCCUCAGUCAUCUCUCUCUACAGUGCUUGAAAGUGAAAGCAUCGUCUCUAUUUAGAUAACAAUAAAAAUAAUAAGUUGAAUUUAUUAUCAUUGUUAUAUAUGUCGGAAAAGUAAUCAGGGCAGUGUAAAUGAAAAAAUAAUAAUAAUAAUUAGGCUUUGCAUUAUUUUUUCAAUUGUAAAAGUGUAAUUACAAUUGCUGGAAGUUAAAAAUUAAAGAAGCCAUCUAUAUUAUUUUUUCAAUGUCGGAAAAGUAAUCAGGGCAGUGUAAAUGAAAUAAUAAUAAUAAUAAUUAGGCUUUGCAUUAUUUUUUCAAUUGUAAAAGUGUAAUUACUAUUGCUGGAAGUUAAAAAUUAAAGAAGCCAUCUAUAUUAAUAGGGGUGGGCACUGGGCAAAGGUUACAUUUAGACUUCCGAGUUGAAUUGAAUGGUCAGUUUUUCAAAUAAUUAAUAAUUUGAACUGAACUGAAAAUCCAAUCAAUUUGGUUCGAUUUAGUUUUUUUUUUCAUUUAAGCUGUGAUUUCUGUUUGGGGCAUAUACCUCGACAAGACCAGCCGUGAUGAGCAGAUAUAUAUAUCUUGACAAGACCAACCAUGAUAAGUAGAUACCUGAUGAGCAGAUACCUAGUAGCAGGAUUCCGCGAACAUGUAUAAUAUGUGGAAGUCUGGCAGCAGGGGAACAAGAGCAGGAAUAUUCUGCUCGUUUACGAAUGUACCAUCCGCCAGGCCACAACAAGAGUUGGCCUCCUAUUAGGAGCAUAAAGCCAUUCUUGCCGGAGGUUGAGGUGGGGAGACCCGGUCAAUAAUGAUUGGCUAGACGUGCAUUCCUACCCAAGAAUCAAGGCACGAAGUCCAUCCAGCCACGACUACAAUAACAGAGCAUCCACUUCCGAGAGUUGGGGAGGUAAUGGACGUAGAUUGUGGGAAGACCUAGAUUCAAGAGAAGCCUAUAAAAAGAUUUACAACGAAGGUAAAAGGGUUAGAUUUUUUGAGAUUACAACUGAGAGAAAAAGAGCUUCUGUUAAGAAAUCGUAAAAAAGCUUCCUAGAAAGGCAAAGCCUGCAUUUCUGACUUGAGCGUCGGAGGGUUUACCCCGGGAAAACACCUGGCGUGCUCUGACCUGUCUCUAUGUACGUAGGAGUUUUGCGGAGAAGAAGUCUUACGAGGAGAGAUCAUGGUCGUGGACGAGUUAGUUGAGGAGAGAUCUUGGUCAAGGAGAGAUCCUGGUCCUGGACAAGUUAGUUGAGGAGAGAUCUUGGUUGUAGAUGAGCAAAGAACCAGAAUCUCGCAUCAACAUUCUGGCGCCGUGUGUGAGGAGCUGAGCCAAAAGCUUCCAUUGAUAGAGAAAAGAAGAGGAAAACAAGUGAGGAAACAAUUGAUGUAGGAGGAAGUAGAGCACAAGGAGGUGACUUGAGGCUUAAUAAGUCCGUGAAGUUGAGAGAGAUAGCCAACGAAGCACGAAAAAAAGCAAUGCAUGAGCAGAUGGAACGGAUGGAAAAACAUAUGGAGACCCUGACAACCAUCCUCCACGAGUUGAGGAGUGAAUGAAGGGGGGUCCAUGAGGAAGGGGUGAGAAGUGGCGGAAUGGCACCAGGGCACGAUAAUAUGAUGAGAGGUCGGGCCACUAGAAGAUUUGGUGGUGAGGGAGGUAACUCAUCUCUACGGGGAGAAAUCCACAGAGGAGAAGAUUAAUCCCCAGAAAGGCAGAUCUUUGAUAACGAUGACAGGGUGGAAAAUGCAGACAAAAGAGAGCUCCGGCAACACCUACAUGAUGUUGAACAAGAGCGAGAUCAGGUUACAGCACGUGACCCUGGUCGUGCAGUACAGCUGGAAGAAGAAGUGCGCAGAUUAGCGCAAAUAAUAGAUGACAUGCAAGAACGGAGUAGAGCACCUGGUUGAGGAUAAUGCUGGACAGAGAAUCCCCGCUCUCGGCACAAAUCAUGGGGGCAGUCAUUCUGAUGGAUUUUCACCUCCGAGACCUCAGAUACUCGGGACGAACCGAUCCGUUGGUGCACAUAGAGCGCUUGAACGAUAUAAUUGGGGUACAAGGACUAUCCCAAACUCAAAAAUACAGGGUGUUCCCGCUGUCUCUAGAGGGACGAGCACGUGAGUGGUACCGAAAACUUCCUCGAGGAAGCAUUAAAUCCUUCGAGCAGAUGUGCCAGGAAUUUACAGAGCAAUUUUGUGGGGCAAUGGCACCUGAGGAUGAUAUGAUAGAGCUGACGAGCAUGAAGCAUGGAGAGGAGGAAACCCUGCGGGAAUUCAUCAAAAGGUUUUAUCGUGUUGUCCUCGAUUUGGGAGCUUUCAACCAUCCUCAAGCAUUAAGGGGAUUGAAAGAAGGGGUGAAGAUAGGACGUCUGUGGUACAAUUUGAGGAAUCCUACUAUUCAAACAUAUUCAGCUGCUUAUGAGCAGGCUAAGAGGGACAUAGAGAUUAAGGAGGAAAAGGCAGCACAGAUUAAGACAGAUCAACUGGAAGGGUUGAGGAGGAAAGAGAAGAGAGCUCUCCCAGGAAAUAGGCCGAUUAAGAGGAAGGACCAUCAUGCCUCAGGCAGUGGUGCAGGAGGCAUGGUCACCUCUUACCAGCCUCAUCAGAGGCCACCCCAAUAUCAGCGCAGCAGGGCGCAACCUCCUUAUUCACCAGCCAGAGAUUCAUGGAGAAGGUAUGAGCCGACAUAUGGUCAUCAUCAUCCACACCCACACGGUGGUAGAGGAAGCAGACCAGAAGCACCGCUAUCCCCUCCAGUUCAGAACGGCAGCAACAGAGAAAUGGCAGUACACAUGAUCGACUAGAGCCAAGACUAUGGGCGAUAUACUUCCUUGAAGAUGCCCCUAGACGAGGUGUAUAAGGCCUUAAAGGAACGGGGAUUACUAUACCUCCCCACCCCAAUAACUAAGCUACCCAGCAGAAGAGAUAGGGGACGCUAUUGCAAGUUCCAUGGCACUCACUAUCAUAACACAAUUGAGUGCAGAGAUCUCAAGACUCAGGUUGAAAAUUUGGUGAGAAAUCGAUACUUGGACGAGUUCAUAGAUGGGACCUUCCCGAUGAUGGCCUCAUCAUGUGAAGGGGAGCAGAGUAACAGGGACUUAAGCCACGAGCAUCCAAUAGUAAGAGUAAUUACUGGGGGCCUAACAUUGGCGGGAGAUUUUAACAGGUCGAGGAAGAACUACGCUAAGUAUGCCAUGACUAGCAAAGAAGUGUUCUUCAACACCCCAACAGCCAAGCGAGCAAGAAUUAGGUAAGUUCCGAUCAUGUGGACAGAUGAGGAUGAAGAAGGGAUUCUAUAUCCAUAUGAGGAUGCCUUAGUCAUUAAAGUCAUCGCUGCUAGCAAGAAGUUUGACCGUAUUCUGGUAGACACGGGAAGCUCGGUCGAUGUUUUGUUCAAGUCAACUCUGGAGGAGAUGGGAAUAUCAUACAUGAGGUUAGAACAUACCAAUACCUCCUUGAAGGGAUUUGGAGGAGGAAAGUUGGUUCCUCUUGGCGUGGUCGAACUGCCCAUCACAAUUGGCAACUCCCCGACAAAAAAGACUAUGAUAUUGGAUUUUGUGCUGGUCGAUAAAAAAGGUCCUUACCAGAUAAUUCUAGGCCGCCCCUUUCUGAGGAUGAACAAAGCGGUACUUGCCAACCAUUAUCUAGCUCUCAAGUAUCGAGUGAACGAGGUUAUUGGAGUGGUACGAGGAGACUAGAGAAUUGCCCGAAGCUAUUAUUCCACAGCAGCAAGGGAAGCAAUGCAGAUUACAUCCCUUGAUACUCGGGUAGGGGUCAAAAAUAGCAGACAGGAGCCCGUAGAGGAGCUGGAGAUAGUAAGCUUGGAGCAGGAUGAUCAAAGAAAAAUAAUAUGAAUCGGGUCGAGGCUUAAAGAAGAGCAGAAGCAGGAGCUGGUGCGUUGCUUACGAGCUCAUGUAGUUGUGUUUGCUUGGACACAUGAAGACAUGCCGGGAAUCGACCUUGAGGUCGCAUGCCAUAGGUUGGCAAUAAGGAAGGGUGCUCGGGCAGUAAAGUAGAAAAUGAGGUGCUUCAACCAGGAGAGGUAUGAGGCUAUAAAUGGCGAGGUGGAGAAGCUCUUGAAGGCAGGGUUCAUUCGGGAAGUUAACUACCCUGAGUGGAUAUCGAAUGUGGUGUUAGUGAAAAAGGCUAAUGGCAAAUGGAAGCUGUGUAUAGAUUUCACAGACCUUAGUAAGGCGUGCCCGAAAGAUAGCUUUCCCUUACCCAAGAUUGAUCAGUUGGUUGACUCAACAGCCGGACAUGACCUGCUUAGCUUCAUGGAUGCAUUUUCGAGAUACAACCAAAUCCUAAUAUUCAAGCAGGAUGAAGAGAGCACGUCAUUUAUUACUAAUUAGGGUUUGUUCUGUUACAGGGUAAUAUUGUUCGGUCUUAAAAAUAUGGGUGUCACAUUCUAGAGGUUGGUGAUAACCAAAUCAAAAGAACCCAAAGGAGCACGUCGAGCACCUCGAGGAGACAUUUGGACUGUUGAGGAAGUACAAGAUGAAGCUCAACCCAGAGAAGUGUGCCUUUGGGGUAGAGUCGGGCAAAUUCCUCGGAUUCAUAGUAAGUCAUCGGAGAAUCGAGGCGAAUCCCGAGAAGAUCCAGGCAAUCUACAGAUGAGAUUUCCUUGUAACCUGAAGGAGACGCAAAGCCUUACGGGGAAGUUGGCGGCAUUGAGCCGGUUCAUAUCAAAGGCGACAAAUAAGUGCCAGUCAUUCUUUCAAGUGAUAAGGAAAGGAAAGAAAACAGAAUGGACUCCCGAAUGAGAAAAAGCCUUCCAGAAUUUGAAGCAAUAUUUGUAGCAAGCACUUCUGUUGUCCACACCGUGGGAUGGGGACGUGCUGUUCCUAUAUAUGGCAGUAUCAGAUCAUGCCACGAGUUCUGUUCUAGUGAGAGAGGAAGAAGGGGUUCAAUAUCUGAUAUAUUACACCAGCAAGGCCCUGCUCGAUGCCAAGACUAGAUACCCACCGUUAAAGAAAUGGGUACUCGUCCUUGUAGUUGCUGCUCGGAAGCUGAGGCCAUACUUUCAAGCAUUUCCUGUCUCGGUAAUAACAAACCAACCGUUACGGCAGACUCUACACAAGUCGGAUGCUUUCGGUCGGCUCGUGAAGUGGGCUAUAGAAUUGAGUGAGUUCGACAUAAGUUACAAACCCCGAGCAACAAUAAAGGCUCAAGCAAUGGCCGAUUUUGUGGCAGAAUUUACAGAGCCCGAAGUAGUUUUCGACCAGUUGGAUGCUGCUACAGUCAACAACGAAGACCGGGUAUGGCAAGUGUCAGUGGAUAGAUCCUCAGGGGAGUAGGGGUCUGGAGUAUGGAUUGUUUUGAAAGGCCCAGAAGGGGAGGAGAUCUCUUAUGCUGUAAGGUUAGAGUUCACAGCCACAAAUAACCAGGUAGAAUACGAAGCUCUAAUAGCGGGUUUGGAGUUAGCUAAGGCAAUGAAAGUAGAUAGGGUGAAAAUCUGAACUGAUUCCCAACUAGUUGCAAAUCAUGUCAGUGAAAGGUUUCAGCCGAGAGAUGGGAAGAUGGAACAAUACUUGAAGAAAGUCAAGCAGAUGAUUGGGAAGUUUGAGGCGGUUGGGGUGAUACAAAUCCCAAGGGAGGAGAAUAGUUGAGCAGAUAUUCUCGCCAGGAUGGUGGCGGUAACAAAUCUAAAAAUGCCGAAGUCGGUCUAUUUCGAGGUGAAGUCCAGCCCUAGCAUCGAGCAGAAUCUAGAGGUACUGCGGAUAGAACAGAAAUGCUCGUGGAUGGACUCGAUAAUCUCGUACAUCAGAGAUGGGGUAUUACCACCAAAUAAGUUACGAGGUCGGAAGAUCAGAGCCUAAGCGUCGAGGUACACAAUAAUUGAUGGGAUAUUAUAUCGGCGGGGAUAUACUCUACUGUUCCUUCGGUGUUUAGAUGAGGACGACGCAGAUUACGUAUUGAGAGAGAAGUACAUGAAAGAGUUUGCGAAAACUAUUCUGGUGCGAGAUCCCUUGCCCACAAGGCUCUAAGGCAGGGAUAUUUCUGGUCGACGAUGCACCAGGAUGCCCAGGAGAAAACCAGGAGCUCCGUAAGUUGCUAGAGUUUUGCAAACUUCUCUACCCAACCACCAGAGAAGCUCACUUCUAUGGCCUCGCCAUGGCCAUUUGCUCAAUGGGGAAUUGAUUUGAUUGGGUUGUUACCAAAUAGACGAUGAGUAGCAACAUAUGCAAUAAUAGCGAUAAAUUAUUUCACGAAGUGGAUAGAGGUAGAAGCUCUCAGCAGGAUCACAGAGAAAAAGACGAUUGACUUUGUAUGGAGAAACCUGGUCUGCCGGUACGGGAUCCCUUAUGCCCUGAUAGCAGACAAUGGCAGGCAGUUUCACAACCAUAACUUCAUGGAUUUCUGCCAAAAUCUCGGGAUAGAGGUGAAGUAUUGCUCGCCUGCUCACCCUCAGUCUAACGGGCAAGUAGAAGCAGCCAACAAGAUAAUAAAGACGCUUCUGAAAACCAGGCUUGGAGCAAAGAAGGGUGCAUGGGUUGAUGAGCUACCCGGUGUAUUAUGGGUGUUGAGUAUUAGAAAAUGUAUAUUUAUAAAAGAGAAAAUCGUCAUUUUACACUUCAAGUUUUAUUAACACCCUUAAUUUUAUGUAUUUAAGUUUCGUGUCAUUUAAUUAUGUGUGUUGUAUUAUAAUUAAGUAUUUUAUGGAUUUUAGGGGCAUCAUAGUCAUUUCACAAUAAAUGAGAGAUCAAACGGCAAAACGGACAUCACUUUUGAACUCAGGACGGUCGAAAACCUUAUGAGGAGCAUAAAAGAAAAAGUGGCACUGUUCACAUGUACGGUAUUAUUCACAUGUACAGUAUUGUCUACGUUACUGUUCACGACAUUGUUCACAUAGACGAAUCGAUGAUGUGGCAUUGACCGAUGAUGUGGCAUUAACUAAUGAGGUGUCACGAUCCUAUUGGACUAAAAUUCUUAUGCACUGUUGAUGGUGAUGUGGCAGUAUAUCAGUGGACCAAAAAUCUCGCUACGGUACAUGCAUUACACAGAAUUAUUUUCAACCAAACCACGUCACUGUUCAAGCCGGGUCAAACUGUGUUACUAUUCAAACCGCGUGGUCAAACCGCGUAUUGUUGACUGAUGAUGUGGCGCAAUCCUGACCGUCCAAACUGUUUUUAAUCCGAUGGCCAUGAUUUACUCAAUGUAUCUAUAAAAAGGAGACCUCCCCCCCCUAAUUUGAUAUCUCUGAAUCCAUUUUUGGACUCCAUUUUCUGUAAUUCCUUCUCUAUCUUAUAUUUUCUACGUAUUUUAAUAAAUUUCUAUUUUGCCCCUAGUUUAAUUAUGAGUAGCUAAUUUUCUUUCAAGCUUGGGUUGAAGGUGAAGUCUCAACAUCUGUCAUGGGCUUUAUUUGGUAAAUUUAUUUUCUCUUCCCCUCUAGUUUUUUGUGGAUGUUUUGACUUCUCAUUAACAAAUAAUAAUAAUCUUGUCUAGAUACAGCCAUGGUUUCAUCGGCUCCCUAGUACAAGAUUAUUAUUAUUUGGCACGAUAAGCCCUUAGCACCAUAUUGAUUAGAGUGUGGUUCAUGAGGUGUUGAUUCCCCCCUCAUGAUUUAAUUGGCAUUAAUAAGGAAUAUUUAACCCAUGGUGCAUGUUAAUACGGAUCCAGAUACCCAAGUACGUCAUUUCAUUAGAUUUCUAUUCAAUUUAUUCUCGUCAUUUCAAUUCCAAUUUUAAGAUAAUCUAAGUCAUUUUCACCACAAAUCCAAACAUCCAUUUAGAAAAAUUAAUUCUACAGACAAUUAGAAUCAACCUCCUCGUGGGAUCGACACUCGUCACCAUUAAUCUAUUCUACAAUAGAUUCGUGCACUUGCGAGUUCAAUAAAAUUUUCACAAGUUUUUGGCGCCGUUGCCGGGAAGGUAAGUUAUUUUAAUUCGUAGAAUUAAUUUUUGUGAAUAAUUUCUUUUAAUUAUUUUCUUGUAAUUUUGUUAUUUAAAAAAAAAAAAGAGUGAAUCUACAUUUUGAGGUACGAAUCUCUUUUCUUUUAUCUUCUUUAAAUUUCUUUAAUUUAAUUUUCAUGUUAUUUUUCUUUGUAAUUUUUUGUUUAUCUUAUUAAUUUAUUUUUAGUUAAUUUAUUUCACGUAUUUUUUUGUGUAUUUUUAUAGUAAGGUUUUAACAGCGUAAUAAGUUUAGUACCGUAAUUUCUCCUUCUUCUUUAUUUUUAUUUGUUUUGUUCCUUUUUUUUUUUGUUCCUUACAUGCAUGGUCGCAGGUCAUUAUUACCUAAUCUUGAACCUAUAGACCUUGAACUAGAAAAAACACUUCGCACACACAAACACGUUAAAAAUAAAUUUGAAAUGGAUUUGCAACAACAAGCACUACCACAGGAGAGGCCAUUUAAGGACUACUUCAGUCUUUUAGCUAAUUUGAGUAUAUCAUACAUAAGAUACCCAAAUGUAGCUUAUAGGAGUUUUAAGUUAAAACGUAGUGUGCUAAAUUGUCUCCCAACAUUUUAUGGCUUAGAAAAUGAGGACCAUAUAAUCAUCUGAAUCAUUUUCAUGCUAUUUGUCAAACUUUUAAAUAUGAGAAUUUUUCAGACGAUAAUGUGAAACUUAGACUAUUCUCAUUUUCUUUAAAGGAUAGAGCUCGUUCAUGGUUAAAUACUUCCUGCUAAUAGCAUUACAUCAUGGGAACAAAAUUUUUGAAUAAAUAUUUUCCAGUGCAUAAAACCAAUGCUAUUCGCAGGGAAAUCUGGAGUUUACCCAGAGAGAAGACGAGCAGUUUUUCGAAACAUAGGAGCGAUUCAGUGGGCUACUUUUGAAGUGUCCACAUCAUGGGUAUGAGAAAUGGCACCAAUGCCAAUACUUUUUAAAGGGAUUAUUGCCGAAUGUGCAGGAAUGGCUAAUGGCAACAAGCGGAGGAGAGCUAAUGUCAAAAAGUGCAUCAGAGAUUUGGGAAUUCUUCUAGCGACAAGCGGAUAAUUCCCAACAAUAGAGUCGAUCACUCAGGAAUACUAAAAGAAUUAAGGGAGUAAAUGAAGUUCACAUUGGCGAGUCAACUUCGGGAAUCAAAGAAGUCAAAAAGAUGGUUGAAGGUCUUUCUCGACAAAUAGCAUCAUUAACGACUACUAAAUCAACAGAACUACAUGACCAUAACUCAUACUCAGAUCAAGCCAAUGCCAUAUGUGUAAUGAGAAAACCAUCAAAUUACAACCCAUAUAACCCUGGAUGGAGAGACCACCCCAAAUUUUCAUGGUCUCAAGGAUUCCAACAAAAUGGACUAGCAGCUCCAGCUCCACCAAUGCAACUAAUUCCUCAAGUUCCUCAAGCCACUCAGCCACCAUUUAGACCAUACAAUCAGAACCAGAACUAUUCUCAACCCAGACCAUGGGAGGAUUCAUUCCGGAAUCUCAAGAAUGUUACACACUCUACGAUUGGGCAACAAAAUCGCACCAUUGAUGGACUACAAAAUGAGUUGAGAGCAGGCUUCAACUCACAAGCUCAAUCAAUUUUAAGCCUCGAGAAGAUGGUGGGACAACUUGCUUCUUCAGUUCAGACCUUGGCAAUGACUGUUCAGAAAGGUAAGUUUCCAAGUCAACCAGUGCCUAAUCUUAAAAGAGUACAUGAAGCAAGUACCAGUUCACCACAGCAGCAUGGAGAGGUCAAAGCCAUCAUGACCUUGCGAAAAGGAAAAGAAGUCGACAACAAAGUGGAGAUGCCAGUGACAAAAGAAAAUUAAAUUAUACCUAUGAAUGUUGAUGACUCACCAUCGGAAGAGAAAGAAGAAACCAACCCACGAGAAUACGUUCCGAAAGCUCCAUUUCCUUAGAGGUUAGCUGAAGGAAAGAAGGAAAAAUCCACAGGUGAGAUUCUUGAAAUCUUCAAACAGGUAAGUGUUAACAUCCCUUUACUUAAUGCUAUAAAACAAGUUCCAUCUUAAGUAAGUUUCUUAAAGACCUUUGUACUAAAAAAAGAUACAUUCACGUUCAAAAGAAGACAUUUUUAACAAAAACGUUAGUUCUAUACUCCAACACAAAUUCCUCUAAAAUGCAAAGACCCAGGCUCCCUCAUUAUCUCAUGUAGCAUAGGAAACCACACAAUUGAGAAUGCUUUGUUGGAUUUAGGAGCUAGUGUAAAUCUGUUACCCUAUUCAGUAUUUGUGAAACUUGGAUUGGGAGAAUUACACCCAACUCCAGUGGUGUUACAACUUGCAGAUCAGUUUACGAAAAUAUCUCGUGGUAUUGUGGAGGACGUGCUUAUCCAGGUAGACAAGUUUUAUUUUCCUAUUGAUUUUAUUGUAAUUGGCACUCAACCAAUACAGGAUUUAAGGAAGCACAUCCCCAUUAUUCUAGGCCGACCUUUCUUGACAACUGCGGAUGCUCACAUUCAAUGCAGGACUGGAAAUAUGCAGUUGCCCUUUGGCAACAUGACUAUGGAGCUGAACAUCUUCAACAUUGCCAAACAACCUCACAAUGCAGUUGAUGUGGAUUUAAUUGAAGUAUUAAUUGAUAAUACUUUUGUUUCAAACCUUAGUGAUGAUCCUUGACAAACAUGUUUAACUCACUUUGGUUUGGAUUUUGAUAUUGAUAGAUCAGUUGAUGAGGUCAACGCCCUGCUUGACUCAGCACCAUCCAUGGACACUGAUAAAUGGAAGUCAAGAGUUGAACAACUAGCACCAUCAGAAAAGAAACUCAUCUCAUCAUCAGAAUCACCACCGAAACUUGAGCUCAAACCAUUAACCAAUACAUUGGAAUAUGCAUUUUUGGGAGAAGAAAGUACUCUGCCGGUAAUCAUCUCAUCAUCCCUAAAUGACGAACAAAAAGGUAAGUCGUUGGAUGUUUUAAAAGAACACAAAGGAGCAUUAUGAUAGACCAUUGCAUAUAUAAAAGGUAUAAACCCAAUAGACUGCAUGCAUUACAUUCACCUUGAUGAAAAUGCUAAACCUACUAGGGAAAUGCAACGUCGGUUAAAUCCUAACAUAAAAGAAGUUGUUAGAACUGAAGUCCUUAAGCUAUUAGAUGCAGGUAUCAUUUACCUCAUUUCUAAUAGUUCAUGGGUCAGUCCUGUACAAGUUGUCCCCAAAAAGUCAGGAGUCACAGUAGUUACCAAUGCUAAUAAUGAAUUGAUACCCACUCGAGUAACUACAGGAUGGUGUGUUUGCAUUGAUUAUAGAAAGUUGAAUUCUGUCACACGUAAAGACCAUUUUAUUUUACCAUUUAUCGAUCAAAUGCUUGAUAAAUUAGCAGGCCAUGAAUUUUAUUGCUUUCUAGAUGGCUACUCAAGAUAUAAUCAAAUCCCCAUAACACCAAAAGAUCAAGAGAAAACUACUUUUACUUGCCCUUUUGGCACUUUUGCAUAUAGGAGAAUGACAUUUGGAUUAUGCAAUGUACCUGCCACAUUUCAACAAUGCGUGUUAAAUAUUUUUUUUAUAUAGUUGAACGAUUCUUUGAAAUCUUUAUGGACGACUUUUCUGUCUUUGGUAACUCGUUUGAUCAAUAUUUACAUCAUCUAACACUAGUUCUACAGAGAUGUAUCAAGAAGAAUUUAGUCUUAAAUUGGGAGAAGUGUCAUUUUAUAGUAAAACAAGAUAUUAUUCUCGGUCACCUCAUUUCGAGAAAAGGUAUUGAGGUUAACAAAGCCAAGGUGGAUCUCAUUUCUAAUCUUCCCCCACCUAAAACAGUCAGAGAAGUAAGAUCUUUCCUUGGGUAUGCUGGUUUUUAUAGACGUUUUAUUAAAGAUUUUAGCAAAGUUUCUAAACCCUUAUGCAAUCUACUUGCUAAGGAUGAACCUUUUGUCUUUGAUGAUUCAUGUCUUGUGGCAUUUGAAAAAUUAAAGUAGUUUUUGACAUCAUCACCCAUCAUUCAGCCUCCAAAUUGGAGCGCUUACCAUUUGAGCUCAUGUGUGAUGCAUCUGAUUAUGCAGUAGGAGCAGUAUUAGGACAAAGAGUUGAUCGAAUUCCCCAUGUUAUUUACUAUGCUAGUAUGACAUUGAAUGAUGCACAGUUGAACUAUUCAACUACUGAAAAGGAAAUGCUAGCAGUAGUGUUUGCAUUAGAGAAAUUUCGAUCUAAUCUCAUUGGUUGUAAAAUAAUUGUGUUCACAGAUCAUGCUGCUCUUAAAUAUCUUCUCAUAAAGAAAGAUGUAAAAGCUAGACUAAUUCGUUGGGUGUUACUUUUGCAGGAGUUCGACUUGGAAUUUAAAGAUAAGAAAGGCGCAGAGAAUGUUGUGGCUGACCAUCUCUCUCGUCUCCAUUUUGACACAAUUAUGGAAUUAUUACCAUUGAAUGAGUCAUUUCCAUAUGAAUAAUUGAUGAGUGUGGAAGUAUUACCGUGGUAUGCUGACAUCGUGAAUUAUCUUGUUACAGGUCAACUUCCAGAGCAUUGGACCAAGCAAGACAAGGCCAAAUUUUUUACAGAAAUAAAGAAUUUCUUUUGGGAUGACCCGUAUUUAUUCAAGUAUUGUGCAGAUCAAAUUGUUAGACGAUGUGUACCAGAAAGUGAAAUUCAGAAUAUCCUUUCAUUCUGCCAUGAACAAGCUUGUGGAGGCCAUUUCAGCGCUAAGAAAACAGCGACUAAAGUUUUACAAUGUGGUUUCUAUUGGCCAACUAUAUUUCGAGUCGCUUACACUUUUUGUUCUUCAUGUGAUAGGUGUCAACUGUUGAGUGUUAGAAAAUGCAUAUUUAUAAAGGAGAAAACCGUCAUUUUACAUUUCAAGUCUUACUAACAACCCUUACUUUUAUGUAUUUAACCUUCUUGUGAUUUAAUUAUGUGUGUUUUAUUUUAAUUAAGUAUUUUAUGUAUUUUAGGGGCAUUAUAGUCAUUUCACAAUAAAGGAGAGAUCAGAUGGCAAAACAGACAUCACUUUUGAACUCAGGACGGUCGAAAACCUUAGGAGGAGCAUAAAAGGAAAAAUGACAUUGUUCACAUGUACGAUACUAUUCAUGUGUACGGUACUGUCUACGUUACUGUUCACAACACUGUUCACAUAGACAAAUUGAUGACGUGGCAUUGACCGAUGAUGUGGCAUUGACUGAUGAGGUGUCACGAUCCUGUUGGACUAAAAUUCUUAUGUACUGUUGAUGGUGACGUGGCAGCAUAUCAGUGGACUAAAAAUCUUGCGUAUGGUAUAUGCAUCACACAGGAUUAUUUUCAACCAUACCGCGUCACUGUUCAACCCGGGUCAAACCGUAUUACUGUUCAUCCGCGUGGUCAAACCGCGUACUGUUGACUGAUGACGUGGCGCAAUCUUGAGCGUCCAAAUUGUUUUUAAUCUAAUGGCCAUGAUUUACUCCAUGUAUCUAUAAAAUGGGGGCCUCUCCCUCUAAUUUGAUAUCUCUGAAUCCAUUUUUGGACUCUAUUUUCUAUAAAUCCUUCUCCAUCUUGUAUUUUCUAUGUAUUUUAAUAAAUUCCCAUUUUACCCCUAAUUCAAUUAUGAGUGGCUAAUUUUCUUUCAAACUUGGGUUGAAGGUGAAAUCUCAACAUGUGUCAUGGGCUUUAUUUGGUAAAUUUAUUUUCUCUUCCCUUCUAAUUUUUGUGGAUGUUUUGACUUUUCGUUGACAAAUAAUAAUACUCUUGUCUAGAACCGCCUUGGUUUCACCGGCUCCCUAGUACAAGGUUAUUAUUAUUUGGCACGAUAAGCCCUUAGCACCAUAUUGAUUAGAGCGUGGUUUAUCAGGUGUGGAUUCCCCUCUCAUGAUUUAAUUGGCAUUAAUACGGAUUAUUUAGCCCAUGAUGCAUGUUGAUACGGAUCCAGAUACCCAAGUACGUCAUUUCAAUAGAUUUCUCUUCAAUUUAUUCUCGCCAUUGCAAAUCUAAUUUUAGAAUUUAUUAUCGUCAUUUCAAUUCCAAUUUUAGGAUAAUUUAAAUCACUUCCACCACAAUUCCAACCACCCAUUUACAAAAUUAAUUCUAUAUAUAAUUAAAAUCCACCUCCUCGUGGGAUCGACACUCAUCACCAUUAGUCUAUUCUACAAUAAAUUCGUGCGCUUGCGAGUACAUUAAAAUUUGCACAACAUCAACGAAUGGGGAGCAUUACGCGAAGGAAUUUGAUGCCACUAAAUCUAAUUUUAGUAGUUGAGAUUUUUUAUGUAUGGGGUAUCGACUUUAUGGGACCCUUUCCCCCUUCUUUCUGUCAUCAAUACAUAUUGGUUGCUAUUGACUGUGUAUCGAAAUGGGUAGAAGCAAUUUCAUGUAGAACCAAUGAUCACAAGGUGGUGAUAGGAUUUUUGAAAAGCAACAUUGUUUCACGCUUUGGAUUCUCUCGAGCGAUAAUCAGUGAUGGUGGUGCCUAUUUUUGUAACAAAGCAUUCAAAGCUCUUUUGACAAAAUAUUCAAUCACUCACAAAGUCGCGGACCCAUAUCAUCCGCAAACCAGUGGCCAAGUUGAGAUCUCCAAUCGAGAAAUAAAGCACAUAUUAGAAAAGACGAUGAGGCCGGACAUAAAAGAUUGGUCAUUAAGACUUGAUGAUGCAUUAUAGGCAUAGAGAACAGCUUUCAAGACCCUAAUUGGGAUGUCACCCUACAGGCUAGUAUAUGGAAAAGCUUGCCACCUAUCAGUGGAACUCGAGCAUCAUGCGUACUAGGCCAUUAAGAAAUUCAACUUUGACAUACAACAAGCUAGCUCAGAAAGAAGAUUACAACUGGCAGAACUUGAAGAAAUUCGCAAUGAUGCAUACGAAAAUGCCAAAAUUUACAAGCAGCGAAUGAAAGUCUUCCAUAACAAGCAAAUUAUGAGAAACUCUUUCACUCCAGGUCAGAAAAUGCUUUUAUUCAAUUCUCGCUUACUCCUAUUCCCAGGUAAGUUACGCUCUCGAUGGUCUGACCCCUUUAUUGUUCAUAUUGUUUUUCCACAUGAGGCAAUUGAAAUUAAGGACCCAAAGAACAGUGUCACGUUUAAAGUUAAUGGUCAAAGAUUAAAGUCAUAUCUAGAGUACCAACCACAUGGAGAAGACACCGAAAUAAAUUUAAGUGACCCACCAGAUUUGAAUUGAUUUUUUUCUUCUUUGGUGAUUUAUUUUUUUCUUUCUUUCUUUUUAUUUUUUUAUUAUUCUUUUGCUAAUUGAAAUUAUUUUUGCAUAAGUGUGUUUGUUUAACCAUUAAGUUUCUCUUAUCAGUGUUAAUCAUGAGUGUCAUAUCUAAACAGUUUCUCCUGAACAUUUUUAAACCACUUCAACGUGUAAAAUCUCAUCUCAAAAGGCAGAUUCGAUUUUGUAAGAUGUUGAGUGUUAGAAAAUGCAUAUUUAUAAAGGAGAAAAUCGUCAUUUUACAUUUCAAGUCUUACUAACAACCCUUACUUUUAUGUAUUUAACCUUCUUGUUAUUUAAUUACAUGUGUUUUAUUUUAAUUAAGUAUUUUAUGUAUUUUAGGGGCAUCAUAGUCAUUUCACAAUAAACGAGAAAUCAGAUGGCAAAACGGACAUCACUUUUGAACUCAGGACGGUCGAAAACCUUAGGAGGAGCAUAAAAGGAAAAAUGGCACUGUUCACUUGUACGGUACUAUUCACGUGUACGGUACUGUAUACGUUACUGUUCACGACACUGUUCACAUAGAUGGAACGAUGAUGUGGCAUUGACUGAUGAGGUGUCACGAUCCUGUUGGACUAAAAUUCUUAUGUACUGUUGAUGGUGACGUGGCAGCAUAUCAGUGGACGAAAAAUCUCGCAUACGGUGCAUGCAUCACACAGGAUUAUUUUCAACCAAACCGCGUUACUGUUCAUCCGGGUCAAACCGCGUUACUGUUCAAAGUCGGGUCAAACCGUGUUACUGUUUAUCGGCGUGGUCAAACCGUGGACUGUUGACUGAUGACGUGGCGCAAUCCUGAGCGUCCAAACUGUUUUUAAUCCGAUGGCCAUGAUUUACUCCAUGUAUCUAUAAAAAGGGGGCCUCCCCCCCCUAAUUUGAUAUCUCUGAAUCCAUUUUUGGGAUCCAUUUUCUGUAAUUCCCUCUCCAUCUUGUAUUUUCUUCGUAUUUUAAUAAAUUCCUAUUUUGCCCCUCGUUCAAUUAUGAGUGGCUAAUUUUCUUUCAAGCUUGGGUUGAAGGUGAAGUCUCAACAUGUGUCAUGGGCUUAAUUUGGUAAAUUUAUUUUCUCUUCCCCUCUAGUUUUUGUGGAUGUUUUGACUUCUCGUCGACAAAUAAUAAUAUUCUUGUCUAGUACCGCCUUGGUUUCACCGGCCCUCUAGUACAAGGUUAUUAUUAUUUGGCACGAUAAGCCCUUAGCACCAUAUUGAUUAGAGCGUGGUUCAUGAGGUGUGGAUUCCCCUCUCAUGAUUUAAUUGGCAUUAAUACGGAUUAUUUAGCCCAUGAUGCAUGUUGAUACGGAUCCAGAUACCCAAGUACGUCAUUUCAAUAGAUUUCGCUUCAAUUUAUUCUCGCUAUUGCAAUUCCAAUUUUAGAAUCUCAAUUCCAAUUUUAGGAUAAUUUAAAUCAUUUCCACCACAAUUUCAACCACCCAUUUACAAAAUUAAUUCUACAUAUAAUUAAAAUUCACCUCCUCGUGGGAUCGACACUCGUCACCAUUGAUCUAUACUACAAUAGAUUCGUGCGCUUGCGAAUACAUUAAAAUUUGCACAACAAGUUUUUGGCGCCGUUGCCGGGGAGGUAAGUAAUUUUAAUUCAUAGAAUUAAUUUUUGUGAAUAAUUUCUUUUAUUUGUUUUCUUGUAUUUUUUUUAUUAUUAAAAAAAAAGAAAAAAAAAGUGAAUCUACAUUUAAAGGUUAGUAUUUUUUUUCUUUUUCUCUUCUUUAAAAUUCUGUAAUUUCAUUUUCAAUUUAUUUUUCUUGUAAUUUUUUUUUGUUUGUUUAUCUUAUUAAUUUAUUUUUAGUUGAUUUAUUUCACGUAUUUGUUUUUGUGUAUUUUUAUAGUAAGGUUGUAAUAGCGCAAUAAGGUUAGUAUCGUAAUUUCUCCCUCUUCUUUAUUUUUAUUUAUGUUGUUCCCAUCUUUAUUUUUUAUUUCAUUUGUUUUGCAUGCAUGGUCGAAGGUCAUUAUUACCCAAUCUUGAACCUAUAGACCUUGAACUUGAGAAAACACUUCGCACACACAAACAAGUAAAAAAUAAAAUGGAUUUGCAACCACAGGAGAGGCCAUUUAAGGAUUAUUUCAGUCCUUUAGCAAAUUUGAGCACAUCAUGUAUAAGAUACCCAAAUGUAGCUGCUAGGAGUUUUGAAUUAAAACCUAGUGUGCUAAAUUGUCUCCCCACAUUCUAUGGCCUAGAAAAUGAGGACCCAUAUAAUCAUUUGAAUGAUUUUCAUGCAAUUUGUCAAACAUUUAAAUAUUAGAAUUUUUCAGAUGAUGAUGUUAAACUCAGAUUAUUCACAUUUUCUUUAAAGGAUAGAGCUCGUUCAUGGCUUAAUACAUUGCCUGCUAAUAGCAUUGCAUCAUGGGAACAAAUGGUAACUAAAUUUUUGAAUAAAUAUUUCCCAGUGCAUAAAACCAAUGCUAUUCGCAGGGAAAUUUCAGAGUUUACACAGAGAGAAGACGAGCAAUUUUUCGAAACAUGGGAGCGAUUCAAUGGGCUACUCUUGAAGUGUCCACAUCAUGGGUACGAGAAAUGGCACCAAUGCCAAUACUUUUUGGAGGGAUUACUACCAAAUGUGCAAGAAUGGCUAAUGGCAACAAGUGGAGGAGAGCUAAUGUCAAAAAGUGCAUCAGAGAUUUGGGAAUUCUUCCAGCGACAAGCGGAUAAUUCCCAACAACGGAGUCGAUCAAUCAGGAAUACUAGAAGAAUUAAGGGAGUAAAUGAGGUUCAAAUUGGCGAGUCAACUUCGGGAAUCAAAAAAGUCAAGGAGAUGGUUGAAGGUCUUGCUCGACAAAUAGCAUCGUUAUCGACUGCUAAAUCAACAGAGCCACAUGACCAUGACUCAUACUCAGAUCAAGCCAAUGCCAUAGGUGUAAUGAGAAAACCAUCGAAUUACAACCCAUACUCCAACACAUAUAACCCUGGAUGGAGAGACCACCCCAAUUUUUCAUGGUCUCAAGGAUUCCAACAGAAUGGACCAGCAACUCCAGCUCCACCAAUGCAACAAAUUUCUCAAAAUCCUCAAGCCUCUCAGCCCCCAUUUAGACCAUACAAUCAGAACCAGAACUACUCUCAACCCAGACCAUGGGAGGAUUCAUUCCAAAAUCUCAAGAAUCUUACUCACUCUACGAUUGAGCAACAGAACCGCACCAUUGAUGGACUACGAAAUGAGUUGAGAGCAGGCUUCAACUCACAAGCUGAAUCGGUUUCAAGCCUCGAGAAGAUGGUGUGACAACUUGCUUCUUCAGUUCAGACCUUGGCAAUGACCGUUGAGAAAGGCAAAUUUCCAAGUCAACCAGUGCCUAAUCCUAAAGGAGUACAUGAAGCAAGUACCAGUUCACCACAGCAGCAUGGAGAGAUCAAAGCAGUAAUGACCUUGCGAAAAGGAAAGGAAGUCGACAACAAAGUGGAGAUGCCGGUGACAAAAGAAAAUCAAAUUGUACCUGUGAAUGUUGAGGACUCAUCACCGGAGGAGAAAGAAGAAACUAACCCACGAGAAUACGUUCCCAAAGCUCCAUUUCCUCAAAGGUUAGCUAAAGGAAAGAAGGGAAAAUCCACAGGUGAGAUUCUUGAAAUCUUCAAACAGGUAAGUGUUAACAUCCCUUUACUUGAUGCUAUUAAACAAGUUUCAUCUUAUGCCAAGUUUCUUAAAGACCUUUGUACUAAAAAGAGAAAUAUGCAUGUUCAAAAGAAGGCUUUUUUAACAGAAAACGUUAGUUCUAUACUCCAACAUAAAAUUCUUUUAAAAUGCAAAGACCCAGGCUCCCCCACUAUCUCAUGUAGCAUAGGGAACCACACAAUUGAGAAUGCUUUGUUGGAUUUAGGAGCUAGUGUAAAUUUGUUGCCUUAUUCAGUAUUUGUGAAACUUGGACUUGGAGAAUUACACCCAACUCCAGUGGUGUUACAGCUUGCAGAUCGGUCCACAAAAAUACCUCGUGGUAUUGUGGAGGACGUGCUUAUCCAGGUAGACAAGUUUUAUUUUCCUGUUGAUUUCAUUGUAAUUGACACUCAACCAAUACAGGAUUCAAGGAAGCACAUCCCCAUUAUCCUAGGCUGACCUUUCUUGGCAACUGCGGAUGCUCACAUUCAAUGUAGGACUGGAAAUAUGCAGUUGUCCUUCGGCAACAUGACUAUGGAGCUGAACAUCUUCAACAUUGCCAAACAACCUCACAGUGCAGAUGAUGGAAUUGUUGAUGUGGAUUUAAUUGAAGCAUUAGUUGAUGAUACUUUUGUUUCAAACCUUAGUGAUGAUCCUUUACAAACAUGUUUAACUCACUUUGGUUUGGAUUUUGAUAUUGACAGAUCGGUCGAUGAGGUCAAUGCCCUGCUUGACUCAGCACCAUCUAUGGACACUAAUAAAUGGAAGUCAAGAGUUGAGCAACUAGCACCAUCAGAGAAGCAACUCAUUCCAUCAUCAGAAUCACCACCGAAACUCGAGCUCAAACCAUUACCCAACACUCUGGAAUAUGCAUUUUUGGGAGAAGAAAGUACUCUGCCGGUAAUCAUCUCAUCAUCCCUAAAUGACGAACAAAAAGGUAAGUUGUUGGAUGUUUUGAAAGAUCACAAAGGGGCAUUAGGAUGGACCAUAGCAGACAUUAAAGGUAUAAACCCAGUAGACUGCAUGCAUUACAUUCACCUUGAUGAAAAUGCUAAAACUACUAGGGAAAUGCAACGUCGGUUAAAUCCUAACAUGAAAGAAGUUGUUAGAACUGAAGUCCUUAAGCUAUUAGACGCAGGUAUCAUUUACCCCAUUUCUGAUAGUUCAUGGGUCAGUCCUGUGCAAGUUGUCCCCAAAAAGUCAGGAAUCACAGUAGUUACGAAUGCUGAUAAUGAAUUGAUACCCACUAGAGUAACUACAGGAUGGCGUGUAUGUAUUGAUUAUAGGAAGUUGAAUUCUGUCACACGUAAAGACCAUUUUCCUUUACCAUUUAUUGAUCAAAUGCUUGAUAGAUUAGCAGGCCAUGAAUUUUAUUGCUUUCUAGAUGGCUACUCAGGAUAUAAUCAGAUUCCCAUAGCACCAAAAGAUCAGGAGAAAACUACUUUCACUUGCCCUUUUGGCACAUUUGCAUAUAGGAGAAUGCCAUUUGGAUUAUGUAAUGCACCUGCUACAUUUCAACGAUGCAUGUUGAGCAUUUUUUCUGAUAUGGUUGAACGAUUCCUUGAAGUCUUUAUGGAUGACUUUUCUGUCUUUGGUGACUCGUUUGAUCAAUGUUUACAUCAUCUAACACUAGUUCUGCAGAGAUGUAUCGAGAAGAACUUGGUCUUAAAUUGGGAGAAAUGCCAUUUUAUGGUAAAACAAGGUAUUGUUCUCGGUCACAUCAUUUCGAGCAAAGGUAUUGAGGUUGACAAAGCCAAGGUGGAUCUCAUUUCUAAUCUUCCUCCACCCAAAACAGUCAAAGAAGUAAGAUCUUUCCUUGGGCAUGCUGGUUUCUAUAGACGUUUCAUUUAAGAUUUUAGCAAAGUUUAUAGACCCUUAUGCAAUUUACUUGCUAAGGAUGUACCUUUUAUCUUUAAUGAUUCAUGUCUUAUGGCGUUUGAAAAAUUAAAACGGUUGUUGACAUCAUCACCCAUCAUUCAGGCCCCAAACUGGAGCUUACCAUUUGAGCUAAUGUGUGAUGCAUCUGAUUAUGCAGUAGGAGCAGUAUUAGGACAAAGAGUUGAUCGAAUUCCCCAUGUUAUUUACUAUGCUAGUAUGACAUUAAAUGAUGCACAGUUGAACUAUUCAACUACUGAAAAAGAAAUGCUAGCAGUAGUGUUUGCAUUAGAGAAAUUUCGAUCUUAUCUCAUUGGUUGUAAAAUAAUCGUGUUCACAGAUCAUGCUGCUCUUAAAUAUCUUCUCACAAAGAAAUAUGCAAAAGCUAGACUAAUUCGUUGGGUGUUACUUUUGCAGGAAUUUGACUUGGAGUUCAAAGAUAAGAAAUGGACAGAAAAUGUUGUAACAGACCACCUCUCUCGUCUCCAUUUUGACACAAUUACAGAAUCAUUACCAUUGAAUGAGUCAUUUCCAAAUGAACAAUUAAUGAGUGUGGAAGUAUUACCUUGGUAUGCUGAUAUAGUUAAUUAUCUUGGUACAAGUAAACUUCCAGAGCAUUGGACCAAGCAAGACAAGGCUAAAUUCUUUGCAGAAAUAAAGAAUUUCUUUUGGGAUGACCCGUAUUUGUUCAAGUAUUGUGCAGACCAAAUUGUUAGACGAUGUGUCCCAGAAAGUGAAAUUCAAAAUAUCCUUUCAUUCUGCCGUGAACAAGCUUGUGGAGGCCAUUUCAGUGCUAAGAAAACAGCGACUAAAGUUUUACAAUGUGGUUUCUAUUGGCCAACUAUAUUUCGAGACGCUUACACUUUCUGUUCUUCAUGUGAUAGGUGUCAACGAAUGGGGAGCAUUACGCGAAGGAAUAUGAUGCCACUAAAUCCAAUUUUAGUGGUUGAGAUUUUUGACGUAUGGGGUAUCGACUUCAUGGGACCCUUUCCCCCUUCUUUUGGCCAUCAAUACAUAUUGGUUGCUGUUGACUACGUAUCAAAAUGGGUAGAAGCAAUUCCAUGUAGGACCAAUGAUCACAAGGUGGUGAUAGGAUUUUUGAAAAGCAACAUUGUCUCGCGCUUUGGAUUCCCUCGAGCAAUAAUCAGUGAUGGUGGUGCCCACUUUUGUAACAAAGCAUUCAAAGCUCUUUUGACAAAGUAUUCAAUCACACACAAAGUGGCGACCCCGUAUCAUCCGCAAACCAGUGGCCAAGUUGAGAUCUCCAAUCGAGAAAUAAAGCACAUAUUAGAAAAAACGGUGAGGCCGGACAGAAAAGAUUGGUCAUUAAGACUUGAUGAUGCCUUAUGGGCAUAUAGAACAGCUUUCAAGACCCCGAUUGGGAUGUCACCCUACAGGCUAGUAUAUGGAAAAGCUUGCCACCUACCUGUGGAACUCGAGCAUCGUGCAUAUUGGGCCAUCAAGAAAUUCAAUUUUGACAUGCAGCAAGCCAGCUCAGAAAGAAGAUUACAGCUGGCAGAACUUGAAGAAAUUCGCAAUGAUGCAUACGAAAAUGCCAAGAUUUACAAGCAACGAAUGAAAGUCUUCCAUGAUAAGCAAAUUAUGAGAAAAUCGUUCACUCCAGGUCAGAAAGUGCUUAUGUUCAAUUCUCGCUUGCACAUAUUCCCAGGUAAGUUACGCUCUCGUUGGUCUGGUCCCUUUAUUGUUCAUACUGUUUUUCCACAUGGGGCAAUUGAAAUUAAGGACCCAAAGAACGGUGUCACGUUCAAAGUUAAUGGUCAAAGAUUAAAGCCAUAUCUAGAGUACCAACCACAUGACGAAGACACCGAAAUAAAUUUGAGUGACCCACCAAAUUUGAAUUGAUUUUUUUUUCUUUUCGUUGAUUUGAUUUUUCUUUCUUUAUUUUUAUUAUUCCUUUGCUAAUUGAAAUUGUUUUUGCAUAAGUGUGUUUAUUUUACCAUUAAGUUUUCUCUUAUCAUUUUUAAUCAUGAGUCUCAUACUUAGACCGUUCCUCCUGAACAUUCUUAAACCACUUCAACGUGUCAAAACUCAUCUCAAAAGGCAGAUUCAAUUUUGUAAAACACAACGCAUUUGGGCUCUACAACCACCAGAGUUAGUAGCCUAUGUUGAGGGUUUAGAACGCCAACUCAGAGACAUUGAGAGAAGUGUUUACGACAUCCAGUUGGAGCUUGAGGUAAAUUCAAUAAGAGGACGAUUUUAAUUUUCUUUGUGUGUUUUAAUUUGUUUUUCUGUUUGUGUGCUUUAGUUUGUUACCCCGGUGAAGUGGCGGAUAACGGUACUCCGUGACAAUCAAGUCGGUUACUUCAGUUUCCCAUAAUAACUGAUAUUCUGAGGCGAAGGUAUGGACAGAAACGAGAUUCUAGCGAAGCUUCACAAGCGAUUCCCUUCACUUCCUCAGAAUGCCCUCCUUACGAUCUAUAAAGCUCGGUCCGAACGCAUGCGAUUACUCAUGAGGAAUAACAUACCUGCUGACAUCCGUUGGUUAAUCGAGGCUAAAGUACGAUCGGUAGGUGAGUUACCUCCAAAAUUUAUUGCAUACAUGCCUGGUUGUGGUAAAGGAAAUUAUGCAAGAAAACGACGAGCUCGAAGAAUUUCUGUUGCUUGUCAUAAGUGUGCCAGAAUGAGUUGCAAUAAAAACCCAUGUUCUUUAGGAAUGAUGUCUGAUAACAGGGAAGAUAAGAUUCAAUUCAUUAGGGAUGGCUUGAAUAAGGAGUCAUUGGAUGAUAUCCUUUUGUCUCUUGAAACGCAUCCCAGUGGAUAUGUGCAAGGAGCGAUUCUCCAGUUAUGGCCAUUAUUCCAGAAAGAGCAUGCACGAUAUAGUCUCGGGAAUCUGACUAUAAACGACCCUGUUUGCCAGUUUAUAAGAAAACUGGAUAGGAAGCCUAUCCUUGACCCAUAGAGGGCGUUCAAGCCGUUUUUGGACGUAAAACCAGAGGAAGAUGUGAGCCACAGUCGCAACUACCUGUAAAUAUCCUUUUACUUUAUUGUUAUUUUAUUUCACUAUUGCCUUAUUGUUUGCAUUAUUGUCUUUAAUAAUUUUAUUACUGUUUACUUUUUUCUUUUUACUGUUUUCUUUUUGACUUGCGAGCCACGUGCUUUACGCGUUAUUUGACACUGACAUAUUACCUCAUACACAACCAUGAUCCACUAUCACUGAGACUCUUAAAUGUGAUUUCUUUUUUGUCAAGCACUCACAAAUUGUUUUUGAGAAGUAUCACAAUGUCAGCUACUCCCAAUAGACAAUUCAAGAACAUUUUUGUGCUUUCUGGAUUUACAUAUGGCAAACAUAAAGAGUUCGUUGAGGCAGCCAUAGAUCUUGGUCGAAGAAUAGCAGCGAGAAAAUUACACUUGGUGUAUGGAGGAGGUAAUCGAGGGUUAUCAAAAAUGGUCUCAGAAACAGCUUUUAUCAGAGGAAGUCAAGUGUUAGGCAUCAUCCCAAGAGUCUUAAAACCAUUGGGCAGUUCGUCUGACUCCUCAACUGGAGAAGAGUUAGUCGUCUCAGGUAUGCAAGAAAGAAUAACUGAAAUGCUUAAUCAUGCUGAUGCUUAUAUUUUCCUUCCAGGAGAUCUUGCAACACUAGAGGCACUUAUCACGCUAGCAUCUUGGGCCCAUCUGCACAUCCACCAAAAACCCAUCGGUUUGUUAAAUGUCAAUAACUUUUAUGAUGGCUUUAUCGCAUUUCUUAACCAUGCAAUAAAAAACUAUUUCAUUCCUUCUAAUGUGAAAAAACUUUUUAUUUGUGCUCACACUGCUAAUGAGCUACUUGAUAUGUUACAAGCUUAUAAACCGGAGCCAGACCCCUGGACCUUUGUGUUGGAGCGCCCAAAUAAUGAUGGUAACAGUAGCCGCAGUAAGAAGUACAAAUUAGAUUUAACUCUCCGCUUGUAAAUAUUGUUUUCUGUGUUGCACCACCCAUGUGAUGUCUUCUAAACUCUACUUCUUUCCUUUCAAACAUUGAGGACAAUGUUUCGUUCUGGUUGGGGGGAGGGAAUAGUCGACAAUUGUGGAAUUUUGGUUAAGUUUUUACUAAUUUUUGUUGUAGAAACUAAUUGUUGCUAACUUUUUGUGUCGAAGAUGGCUGAAUAUAGAGUGUAGUGACUCUAGAAACGCAUCUUCAUCGUAAAAAAAAAAAUUAAAAAAUUAAAAAAAAUUUCAGACAUUUUCUUUUUCUUUAUUAUGUUUUUAUGUUUAUUUUUCUUCUUUUUAAUUUCUCCUCUAUAAAUAUACAUUUUUCAAUUUGUGAGUCGAAGAUGGCUGAAUAUGGAGUGUAGUUCCUCUAGAAACGCAUCUUCUUUAAAAAAAAAAAUUAUUUUCGUUUUCUAUCAUUUUACGUGUAACUUUUCUAAUUAGUUUUUAUGCAUCAUUUUCACAUUUAUGCAUGCAUAUUUUCCUUUCAUGUUUAGAAUAGGUUGGGGGGUAGAAUGUUGUUUAAAAAAAAAAUUGUGAUUUGUUUUAACAUUAGAUGACAUGAUUAAUUUCAAAUUUUAGUAUUUGUAUUAUCUUUGGUCUUAAGUGAUGUUACAUUAUGUUUGCUACUCUACAUGUUGAUGUCGGAGACAAAUAUGAGUUGCUUGAAGGAAUGAACAUGUCAUAAUAAGUACCAAGUGAGUUUUUGAGCCUAUUAUUUUUCUUGGAGAAUAACGAUUUUGCCCACUCUUUAUACAGCUUAGCAGUUUAUUAUUUUACACACGAUCUCUAAAUUGCUUUUGAGUUAACCCUUAAAAAAAAUUGUAAAAUAAAAAAAAGAAAAAAAAAAGAAAAAGAAAAAAGAGUGUGUUGCUACAUUUGGAGGCCCAUCUAACUAGUAGAUAUGGAAGGUUAUUUAGAGCCCUAAAAGACGAUGGAAAGGCCAUCUUUGAUCCGUUUAAGCCUUUCUAGCCAUCCCUUUUAUUAAAUAUCCAUAGUUAACCCUUUUGAGCCUUUAAAAAAAAAAAAAAAAACCUUUUCUUUGUCAACUUAUCAUCUUGACCCACUCCAAUUUGGAGUAUUACCCGAUAUCUUAUAAGUUCCAUCACCUAUUUAUGUUUGAGAAAAAUGUAAAUAAUUAUUUUGUUCAGUGAAGUUAUGCCAAAAAAAAAAAGAGAAAAAAAACAACAAAACAAAAGUUGUUGUUUCAAAAGAAUAAAAAUAACAAUAAUAGGUGAAAUCCACCUUGCAACUUUCAAAAAAUAAAAAAAAUUCUCUGCAUUUUUCUCAAACAUACACUUUGUUUUCCUUAUUUCCUUUCUUUAUUAACCAUGUCCCUAGCCUACGUUACAUCCUAAUAAAAGUCCUUCCUAAUUUUAGAGAACUAUAAUCUGAAGUAGAAGCUAGUUAUAUGGGCUAAAAAGAUGUAGUGGUGCAUAUAAAAAAAAAUAAAUAAAUAAAUUGGGUUGACUAACAGUUUUUAUUUGACUUGAGAUCGUAUUAUUUUUAAGCUGAGGGCAUAUUUAUUUAAUCUUGGUGAGAGCAUGUGAUAUCACUUCUUCAUUAUUUUAUCUCAAUUAUCAUUCAUUGGAGUGACUAUUUUUAUUGGGUUUAAUUUCUUUGUGAGAGUGUCACUACUUCCAGUGAGAUUUUGGGGUUUGACAUGUCAUUCUUAAAAGUAGCUAUAACAAAGUCUACUGGGCUGAUUCAUGUGGAUGGUUGAUGUGAGUGUGAUGUUACUUUAGACUGGAGAUAAUGCUUAUACUUUUAUUUGAUUGCUAUCAUUAAUCUGAUUGAAUAAACACGAGUGUUUCUAAAUUUAAAAAAAAAAUCAUUUUGAAUUUGAAUUUUAUUUUCGCUUCAUUUGCUAGGGACUAGCAAUAAGCUGGUUGGGGGGUGUGUUGAGUGUUAGAAAAUGCAUAUUUAUAAAGGAGAAAACCGUCAUUUUACAUUUCAAAUCUUACUAACAACCCUUACUUUUAUGUAUUUAACCUUCUUGUUAUUUAAUUACAUGUGUUUUAUUUUAAUUAAGUAUUUUAUGUAUUUUAGGGGCAUCAUAGUCAUUUCACAAUAAACGAGAAAUCAGAUGGCAAAACGGACAUCACUUUGAACUCAGGACGGUCGAAAACCUUAGGAGGAGCAUAAAAGGAAAAAUGGCACUGUUCACUUGUACGGUACUAUUCACGUGUACGGUACUGUAUACGUUACUGUUCACGACAUUGUUCACAUAGACGGACCGAUGAUGUGGCAUUGACUGAUGAGGUGUCACGAUCCUGUUGGACUAAAAUUCUUAUAUACUGUUGAUGGUGACGUGGCAGCAUAUCAGUGGACGAAAAAUCUCGCAUACGGUGCAUGCAUCACACAGGAUUAUUUUCAACCAAACCGCGUUACUGUUCAUCCGGGUCAAACCGCGUUACUGUUCAAAGUCGGGUCAAACUGUGUUACUGUUCAUCGGCGUGGUCAAACCGUGGACUGUUGACUGAUGACGUGGCGCAAUCCUGAGCGUCCAAACUGUUUUUAAUCCGAUGGCCAUGAUUUACUCCAUGUAUCUAUAAAAAGGGGGCCUCCCCCCCCUAAUUUGAUAUCUCUGAAUCCAUUUUUGGGAUCCAUUUUCUGUAAUUCCCUCUCCAUCUUGUAUUUUCUUCGUAUUUUAAUAAAUUCCCAUUUUGCCCCUCGUUCAAUUAUGAGUGGCUAAUUUUCUUUCAAGCUUGGGUUGAAGGUGAAGUCUCAACAUGUGUCAUGGGCUUAAUUUGGUAAAUUUAUUUUCUCUUCCCCUCUAGUUUUUGUGGAUGUUUUGACUUCUCGUCGACAAAUAAUAAUAUUCUUGUCUAGUACCGCCUUGGUUUCACCGGCCCUCUAGUACAAGGUUAUUAUUAUUUGGCACGAUAAGCCCUUAGCACCAUAUUGAUUAGAGCGUGGUUCAUGAGGUGUGGAUUCCCCUCUCAUGAUUUAAUUGGCAUUAAUACGGAUUAUUUAGCCCAUGAUGCAUGUUGAUACGGAUCCAGAUACCCAAGUACGUCAUUUCAAUAGAUUUCGCUUCAAUUUAUUCUCGCUAUUGCAAUUCCAAUUUUAGAAUCUCAAUUCCAAUUUUAGGAUAAUUUAAAUCAUUUCCACCACAAUUUCAACCACCCAUUUACAAAAUUAAUUCUACAUAUAAUUAAAAUUCACCUCCUCGUGGGAUCGACACUCGUCACCAUUGAUCUAUACUACAAUAGAUUCGUGCGCUUGCGAGUACAUUAAAAUUUGCACAACAUAAGACAUAUCGUAUUUGGUCUCUGCAACCACCAGAAUUAGUAUCCUAUGUUAAGGAUUUAGAAAGCCAACUCAAAGACAUUGAGAGAUGUGUCUACAAUAUCCAGUUAGAGCUUGAGGUAAAUUCAAUAAGAGGACGAUUUUAAUUUUCUUUGUGUGUUUUAAUUUGUUUUUCUGUUUGUGUGCUUUAGUUUGUUACCCUGGUGAAGUGGCGGAUAACGGUACUCCGUGACAAUCAAGUCGGUUACUUCAGUUUCCCAUAAUAACUGAUAUUCUAAGGCGAAGGUAUGGACAUAAACGAGAUCUUAGUAAAGAUUCACAAGCGAUUCCCUUCACUUCCUCAGAAUGCCCUCCUUACAAUCUAUAAAGCUCGGUCCGAACGCAUACGAUUGCUCAUGAGGAAUAACAUAUCUGCUGACAUCCUUUGGUUAAUCGAGGUGAAAGUACGAUUGGCAGGUGAGUUACCUCCUAAAUUUAUUACAUACAUGCCUAGUUGUGGUAAAGGAAAUUAUGUAAGAAAACGAAGAGCUCGAAGAAUUUCUGUUGCUUGUCAUAAGUGUGCUAGAAUGAGUUGCGAUAAAAAAUCAUGUUCUUUAGGAAUGAUGUCUGGUAACAUGGAAGAUAAGAUUUAAUUCAUUAGGGAUGGCUUGAAUAAGGAGUCAUUGGAUGAUAUCCUUCUGUCUCUUGAAACGCAUCCCAGUGGAUAUGUGCAAGGAGCGAUUCUCCAGUUAUGGCCAUUAUUCCAGAAAGAGCAUGCACGAUAUAGUCUCGAGAAUCUGACUAUAAACGACCAUGUUUGCCAGCUUAUAAGAAAACUGGAUAGGAAGCCUAUCAUCGACCCAUAGAGGGCAUUCAAGCCGUUUCUAGACGUAAAAUCAGAGGAAGAUGUGAGCCACAGUCGCAACUACCUGUAAAUAUCCUUUUACUUCACUGUUAUUUUAUUUCACUGUUGUUUUAUCAUUUGCAUUAUUGUCUUCGAUAAUUUUAUUUUAUCAUUUUUUUACUGUUUGCUUUUUGACUCUCGAGCCAUGUGCUUUACACGUUAUUUGACACUGACAUGCUACCUCAUACACAGCUGUAACCCAUUGUCACCAAGAUUCUUAAAUAUGAUUUUUUGGUCACGUACUCACAAAUUGUUUUUGAAAAGUAUCCCAAUGGCAGCUACUCCCGAUAGACAAUUCAAGAACAUUUGUGUGCUUUCUGGAUUUAACUAUAGUAAACAUAAAGAGUUUGUUAAGGCAGCCAUAGAUCUUGGUCGAAAUAUAGUAGAGAGAAAAUUAUACUUGGUGUAUGAAGGAGGCAACCGAGGGUUAUCAAAAUUGGUCUCAGAAGCUGCUUUUGUCAAAAGAAGCCAAGUGUUAGGCAUCAUCCCAAGAGCCCUAAAACCUUUGGGCAGUAUGUCUGACUCACCGACUGGAGAAGAGUUAGUCGUCUCAGGUAUGUAAGAAAGAAUAACUGAAAUGCUUAAUCAUGCUGAUGCUUUUAUUUUCCUUCCAAGAGAACUUGUAACACUAGAGGCACUUAUCACAUUAGCAUCUUGGGCCCAUCUGCACAUUCACCAGAAACCUAUCGGUUUGUUAAAUGUCAAUAACGUUUAUGAUGGCUUUAUCGCAUUUCUUAACAGUGUAAUAAAAAAUUAUUUCAUUCCUUCCAAUGCAAAAAAGCUUUUUAUUUGUGCUCAUACUGCUAAUGAGCUACUUGAUUUAUUACAAGCUUAUAAACUGGAGCCAGACCCCUAGACCUUUGUGUUGGAGCGUCCAAAUAAUGAUGGUAACAGUAGCCGCAGUAAGAAGUACAAAUUAGAUUUAACUCUCUGCUUGUAAAUAUUUUCUUCUGUGUUGCACCACCCAUGUGAUGUCUUCUAAACUCUACUUCUUUCCUUUCAAACAUUGAGGAUAAUGUUUCGUUCUGGUUGGGGGGAGGGAAUAGUCGACAAUUGUGGAAUCUUUGUGAAGUUUUUACUAAUUUUUUGUUGUAGAAACUAACUGUUGCUAACUUUUUAUUGAAGAUAGCUGAAUAUGGAGUGUAGUGACUCUAGAAACGCAUCUUCAUUGUUUAAAAAAGAAAUUUAAAAAAAUUCAGACAUUUUCUUUUUCUUUAUUAAGCUUUGAUGUUCAUUUUUCUUCUUCUUUUUAAUUUCUCCUCUAUAAAUAUACAUUUUCAAAUUUUUUAGUCGAAAAUGGCUGAAUAUGGAGUGUAGUGCCCCUAGAAACGCAUCUUCUUAGUUAAAAAAAAUCAUUUUCUUUUUCUAUCAUUUUAAAUGUAACUUUUCUAAUUAGUGUUUUUGCAUCAUUUUUACAUUUCUGCAUGCAUAUUUUCCUUUCAUGUUUAGAAUAGGUUGGGGGGUAGAAUAUUGUUUGAAAAAAAAAUUGUGUGAUUUGUUUUAACAUUAGAUGACAUGAUGAAUUUCAAAUUUUAAUAUUAGUAUUAUCUUUGGUCUUAAGUGAUGUUACACUAUGUUUGCUACUCUACAUGUUGAUGUCGGAAACAAAUAUGAGUUGCUUGAAGGAAUGAACAUGUCAUAAUAACUACCAAGUGAGUUUUUGAGCUUAUCAUUUUUCUUGGAGAGUAACCAUUUUGCCCAUUCUUUAUACAACUUAGUAGUUUAUUAUUGUAUACACGAUCUCUAGAUUUCUUUUGAGUUAAUCUUUAAAAAAAUGUAAAAUUAAAAAAAAAAGAAAAAAUAUGUGUUGCUACAUUUGGAGGCUCAUCUAACUAGUAGAUAUGGAAGAUUAUUUAGAGCCUUAGAAACUGAUGGAAAUGUCAUCUUUGAUUCGUUUGAGCCUUUCUAGCCAUCCCUUUUGUGAAAUAUCCAUAAUUAACCAUUUUGAGCCUUUAAAAAAAAAACAUUUUCUUUGUAAAUUUAUCAUCUUGACCCACUCCGAUUUGGAGUAUUACCCAAUAUCUUACAAGUUCCAUCACCUAUUUAUGUUUGAGAAAAUGUAAAUAAAUAUUUUGAACAAUAAAGUUAUGCCCAACAAAAGCAAAAACAAAAAAUUGGUGUUUCAAAAAAAAAAUAACAAUAAUAGGUGAAAUCCACCUUGCAACUUCCAAAAAAAAAACAAAUUGCAUUUUUCUCAAACAUACACUUUGUUUUCCUUAUUUCUUCUCCUUUGUUAGCCAUGUCUCUAACUUACGUUACGUCCUAAUAAAAGUCUUUCUUGAUUUUAGGGAACUAUAGUCUAAAGUUGAAGCUAGUUAUAUGGGCUAAAAAGAUGUAGUGGUGCAUAAAAAAAUAAAAAAAUAAAUUGGGUUGACUAGCAUUUUUGUUUGACUUGUGAUUGUAUUAUUUCUAAGCUGGGGCAUAUUUCUUUUAUCUUGGUGAGAGCAUGUAAUAUCACUUCUUUAUUAUUUUUCUCUCAAUUACUAUUUAUUGGAGUGACUAUUUUUAUUGGGUUUAAUUUCUUGGUGAGAGUAUCACUAUUUCCAGUGAGAUUUUGGGGUUUAAAAUGUCAUUCUUAAAAGUAGCUGUGACAAAGUCUACUGGACCAAUUCAUGUGGAUGGUUGAUGUAGGUAUGAUGUUUCUUUAGACUGGAGAUAAUGUUUAUACUUUUAUUUGAUUGUUAUCAUUAGUCUGAUUGAAUAAACAAGAUUGUUUAAAAUAUAUAUAUAUAUAUAUAUAUAUAUAUAUAUAUUGUGUUUGAAUUUUGUUUUCACUUUAUUUGCCAGGGACUAGUAAUAAGCUGAUUGGGGGGUGUGUUGAGUAUUAGAAAAUGUAUAUUUAUAAAGGAGAAAAUCGUCAUUUUACACUUUCAAGUUUUACUAACACCCUUACUUUUUUGUAUUUAAGUUUUGUGUUAUUUAAUUAUGUGUGUUGUAUUAUAAUUAAGUAUUUUAUGUAUUUUAGGGGCAUCAUAGUCAUUUCAUAAUACACGAGAGAUCAAACGGCAAAACGGACAUCACUUUUGAACUCAGGACAGUCAAAAAUCUUAGGAGGAGCAUAAAAAGAAAAAUAAUAUUAUUCACAUGUACGGUAUUGUCUACGUUACUGUUCAUGAUACUAUUUACAUAGACGGAUCGAUGACGUGAAAUUGACCGAUGAUGUGGCAUUGACUGAUGAGGUGUCACGAUCCUGUUGGACCAAAAUUCUUAUGUACUGUUGAUGGUAACGUGACAGCAUAUCAGUGGACCAAAAAUCUCGCGUACGGUACAUGCAUUAAACAGAAUUAUUUUCAACCAAAUCGCAUCACUGUUCAAGCCGGGUCAAAUUGUGUUACUGUUCAAACCGCGUGGUCAAACCGCGUACUGUUGACUGAUGACGUGGCACAAUCCUGAGCGUCCAAACUGUUUUUAAUCCGAUUGUCAUGAUUUACUCAAUGUAUCUACAAAAAGGAGACCUCCCCCCCUAAUUUGAUAUCUCUGAAUCCAUUUUUGGACUCCAUUUUCUGUAAUUCCUUCUCCAUCUUGUAUUUCUAUGUAUUUUAAUAAAUUCUCAUUUUGCCCCUAGUUUAAUUAUGAGUAGCUAAUUUUCUUUCAAGCUUGGGUUGAAGGUGAAGUCUCAACAUGUGUCAUGGGCUUUAUUUAGUAAAUUUAUUUUCUCUUCCCCUCUAGUUUUUUGUGGAUGUUUUGACUUCUCGUCGACAAAUAAUAAUAAUCUUGUCUAGAUACCGCCAUGGUUUCACCAGCUCCCUAGUACAAGGUUAUUAUUAUUCGGCACGAUAAGCCUUUAGCACCAUAUUGAUUAGAGUGUGGUUCAUGAGGUGUGGAUUCCCCCUCAUAAUUUAAUUGGCAUUAAUAAGAAAUAUUUAGCCCAUGGUGCAUGUUGAUACGGAUCCAGAUACUCAAGUACGUCAUUUCACUAGAUUUCUCUUCAAUUUAUUCUCGCCAUUUCAAUUCCAAUUUUAAGAUAAUCUAAGUCACUUUCACCGCAAAUCCAAACAUUCAUUUAGAAAAAUUAAUUCUACACACAAUUAGAAUCAACCUCCUCGUGGGAUCGACAAUCGUCACCAUUAAUAUAUUUUACAAUAAAUUCAUGCACUUGCGAGUUCAAUAAAAUUUGCACAACAAUAGGCAUACAGGACAACCCACAAAACAGCAAUCGACGAGACUCCGUUCGCUUUGGCCUCGGACAUGAAGCUAUUGUACCAGCCGAGAUAAGGGCGACCACGUACCGAACAGAUCACUUCGAUGAGUAGGAAAACAACGACCAGAUGUGCUUGAAUCUGGAUCUGCUAACCGAGAAGAGGGAGCAAGCAUCGAAGCGAUCAGCCGUUUACCAGCAGAGAGUUGCAUGAUAUUACAACCAGAAGGUAUGUAUACGACAGUUCAAGGUCGGCGAUUGGGUACUAAGGAGGGUGAACCAGAACACGAAAGACUCGACACAAGGAGUACUUGGACCAAACUGGGAGGGGCCAUAUAGGGUCAAGCAGGUAGCUAGACCCGGAGCCUACAAGAUUGUUCGCAUGGAUGGCCAUGAGGUGAAACGCCCCUGGAAUGCAGCGCACCUCAAGAAAUAUUUCCAGUAAGACCCGACCACGCUUUAGAGUUAUUUCUAUUUGUUCUCGUUGUUAUGUAUUCUAUGUCAAAUCAAUCUCAUGUAAGGAAUUAUCAAUUAAUGAAACGUUAAGGAAUUUCAGUCACUUGUAAUGGUGUAAAAAUCUCCAAUGCAUGCAAAGACUCACUAAGUCUCAAAGCUUGGUUAUGACGAGACCAGAAGCCAAGCGUGCCAGGAUCUGCUUGACCAACCGCGAGCAGACUCUCACAUGUUGUGAAAAUUUUCAAGGCAUGCAAAGGCUCACUAAGUCUCAAAGCCUGUUUAUGGCGAGACCAGAACCCAAGCGUGCCAGGAUCUGCUCGACCACGCGAAGGCGAAUAGACCCUCAAAUGUUAUUAAAAUUUCCAAGGCAUGCAAAGGCUCACUAAGUCUCAAAGUCUAUUUAUGGCAAGACCAUAAGCCAAGCGUGCCAGGAUCUGCUCGACCACGCAAAGUCGAGCAGACCCUCAAAUGUUAUAAAAAUUUCCAAGGCAUGCAAAGGCUCCCUAAGUGUCAAAGCUUGUUUAUGGCAAGACCAGAAGCCAAGCGUGCCAAGAUCUGCUCGACCACGCGAAGGCGAGCAGACCUUCAAAUGUUAUUAAAAUUUCCAAGGCAUGCGACAGCUCACUAAGUCUCAAACCUUGUCUUAUGGCGAGACCAGAAGCCAAGCGUGCCAGGAUUGCUCGACCAAGCGAAGGCGAACAGACCCUCAAAUGUGAGACGACGGGAAGCCGAACGUUUUGUCACCUGCUCGACCACAACGUAAGUGAACAAAAAAAUAAAAUAAUCUGCCAAGAGCUUGAAGCGAAGAAAGCAAAUAAGAGCGUUCUUAUUAAUCUGCCAACAAUCAUGAAAGCUGCUAGUCUUAACAUACAAUGUUUCAAAAAAAAAAAACCUACGACACAAAUACAUUCAAGAGGACGGCGGGUCAGUAAGUUGGGCCGUCUCUGUUGGCUGGUCCACCUCAGGAGCAGGAGGGCUCUCACCAGUGGCACCUAGGGGGUACUUACCUCGGCAACAUCAAUAGGGACUGCACGAGGAGGAGAGUUUCCCUCCUCGGUUGCAUUUGGCUCCAACUCUUCGACAUCCUCUUUUGCUGCCUCCUCAUCCAUAUAUUGAGCAACGCUAGCAGCAAGCUCAUCUAUCUUCAGAUUAGGAUGCUGCCUCCCAAGGACAGCCAUGAUGCAACGAUAAGAAUGCCGAAGCCCCUGGUCAUAUUGGUUGUCAACUUCCUUCUCUAGGUUUUCAACCUGAACCUGGUGGGAAUCCUUGAGAGAUUCGAGCUGAGCCUCGUAAGUAGCCUUCUACCUCUACAGAUCCUCCUUAACCUUAGUCAGCUCUUCCUCGAGAGUGAUGGCCUUUGCCUGCGCGAGAGACUCUCGUUCUAUCAACUUCAGAUUCUUGAGAUUGAGAUAUCUGGCUUUCUUCUCGGCAGCGUCAUCUUUAGCUUUGGCUUUGGCCGAUUGAAUCCCUCAUCUUUCGGUCAUAGCGACCAACUUUUGCCUUAUAGUAAGUGACCAUACAGCCGAGAUAAAAAGCACUAUACUGCAUAGCCCCUACCAGCUCGUUUAGAGUGCUACCGUCAAAGUCCUCCAAGUCCUUUUUGCUCACGAGUCGAGAAAACUUACUAAUGUAGGGGACCAGAUGCUCUGGUCGAUUGUCGGGCAAACGAGGUUUCGACCAUGUUGGUGGAGGUGGAGAAUUGGGAUCAGUGGUUGUCCCACUACUUUCGCCGGCUUUAGUAGGAGGAGGUGGUAGAGUCCUCAAAAGGGGGACCUGCUCCGCGGUGUUCACCCAUUUCGCAAAGAGAGCCCCUUUAUUCUGGUCGUGCUUAGCAGUAUGUGGUCGAGGACGCUUCCGAGUCAAGGCCCCGAUCACAGCAUCCUUCAUCUUAAGAUCAGUGUGCACCAAGUGAGACUCGAAGAGAUUGUAAGUAGAUAGCAAAUCUCGGCCCGAGCAAGAAUUGGCUAACACAGCCUCAACCUCUAUAAGUGGGUCCGGUUGGAGCGGGUAGUGCACACCCCAAGAACCUGCAUUACGAGCAGAUAUUGGGUUAGAAAUAAAUCAACAAAAUGAGAACAACUAGGGAUACAAGACAUCUAAAGCGAGCAGGCAACCUGGGACCACGAAACGGGAUGGGACGCAAUAGUUCUUCCCGUCAAUAUGUGCAACUUGACCCCAAGGAUCCCUAGCAAAAAAGAAUUUUUUCUUCCAAUUCCCACCACCACCAGUUGGAAGAUCAGUUAUAGGUUUCCUGGUCUUGGUACUUGAUUGGAAAUAAUACCAGCCAGCGUCUUUGGGGCUGCUCUUUAGCUGGUACAGGUGAUUUACCUCAUCAACUGUAGGCGCACUCUGGCAGCAUCUGUCCCACAAUAUAAACAGACCAGAAAGUACCCUCCACCUGUUGGGGUUUAGUUAACCAGGAGCUAAGUUCAACCCGCUUAGUAUUCGGGCAAAAUAGGGUUGUAGAGGGCACCUCAUCUCAAGCUUAAAACUUUCCAGAAACAGAGUAACGUAUCCCCUAGGAGGCCGGCUAGGAGUAUCCUUUUUUCUUUGGAUCCUAAGGGGUAUAUCAUCAAGAAUGUCAUACCUAGCCCGGAGGUUAUCGAGCUCGUCUACUGUGGUCGUGCACGUGAUGAAGUCAAUAGGAUAAUGCUCCGAUAGAGCCCUACUUCCUAUUCUAUUCUUUCUAUCUGGUCGCGACAUUUCUGGUGAGGACAUUUCACCAGCAUCUUCUCCCUGGUCCUCACUCAAUGUGUCUUUCGAACCAGAAGAUCCCUCGUCGCCGCUAUUGCUGGUUGAGGAGGUUGUCUGGGGAGACAUCCUCUUAGCACUAGUCCCAACACUAGAUCUAAUGGGUUCUAAGGGGAUUCCGGGGUCAAAACCAGAAUCGGCGAGCAGACUAGGCAAGAAGUCUAACUCGUCAUCAUCAAUCUCAAUUGUCUUCUCUUUACCUUUUGACAUUUCCUAAACUAUGAUCAGAACAAUAUCACCAAACACUACCCAAGCAAAACAGAGAGAAAAGAAAUUUUCUAUAACUAUCCAAGACCAAGGAAAUAGAAAUAAUACCUGCAAUUGUGGCCUAGCCGAGUAGAGAUAAGAGAGGUAGCUUUCACAGUGAAUGAGAAGAAUGACUUGGUUGCCGGAGAAGUAGAAGAAGGAUAAAAGAUGAGUUUCCCUUUUGGGAUUUUGGGUUCCUUAAUGAGGAAUAAACUCUCGGACUGUCAGCAUUUAACGGCAUGAAUUCCAAGGGUUUCAUAGCCAUCGAUUUGAAAUUCAAAUAGAGGGAUAGAUUUCUGCCACAUCACCUCGCCCGUAAUUAAUUGCGACACGACUCCUCAAAGCCCCUUCCUAUCAUGCAUGAGCCAAAACCGUUGAAUUUCUACUGUCGGUUCACUACGUUACCCAACACUAGAAACUGGGGGACCGGUGUUUGGGGGAUAUACCUCGACAAGACUAGCCGUGAUGAGCAGAUACCUAGUAGCAUGAUUCUGCGAACAGGUAUAUUAUGUGGAAGUCUGAUAGCAGGGGAACAGGAGCAGGAAUAUUCUGCUCGUUCACGAAUGUGCCAUCUGCCGGACCAUAACUAGAGCCAGCCUCCUAUUAGGAGCAUAAAGCCAUUCCUGCUAGAGGUUGAGGUAGGGAGACCCGGUCAAUGACAGUUGGCUAGACAUGCAUUCCUACCCGAGAAUCAAGAUACUAAGUCCAUCCAGCCACGACUACGAUAACGGAGCAUCCACUUCCGAGAGUUAGGGAGGUAAUGGAUGUUGAUUGUGGGAAGGCCCGGAUUCAAGAGAAGCCUAUAAAAAGAUUUACAACGAAGGUAAAAGGGUUAGAUUUUUUAAGAUUACAACUGAGAGAAAAAGAGCUUAUGUUAAGAAAUCGUAAAAAAGCCAUAAGAUUAGUGGUCGUUUUUCCAGAAAGGCAAAGCCUACAUUUUUUACUUGAGUGUCGGAGGGUUUACGCCGAGAAAACACCCGGCGUGCUCUGACCUGUCUCUGUAUACGCGGGAGUUUUGCAGAGAAGAAGUCUUACGAGGAGAGAUCCUGGUCGUGGACGAGUUAGUUGAGGAGAGAUCUUGGUCGAGGAGAGAUCCUGGUCCUCGACAAGUUAGUUGGGGAGAGAUCUUGGUCGUGGACGAGCAGAGAACCAGAAUCUCGCAUCAACAAUUUCUUUUGCUUUUUUCUAGUUCUUUUGAUUUUUUAUUUUUUAUUUUCUCUCAUAUAAAUCGAUGGAUUUUUUUUGAAAAAAAAAACUGACGAUUCGUUUUUUUCGCUGCAAAUAUAAUUUUACCCACCCCUAAUCUGUAUGGUGAAUAUCAUUGCUACAAAGGCUGCUUCCAGUAUUAUUGCCAGUUGUGGAGUGGUUGAUAAAAUGUUGCUAGCCAGGCUGAUUUGACUGUUUGAAGGAAAAUUGCUACUACUCAGGAAGAAAUAGCUAGUACUAUUUUUCUCCAUCUCAUCAAUUUAAUCUUGAAUCCUUAUAUUACAAUUAAUUUUCGUAAAUGGUGAGAGAUUGGUUAAACUCAUAAAGACUGAUAAAAGUUUAAUCUAUUAUAUUUUCUUGCGUACUCAAUGAAUACAAACUAAGAAGAAUUAUUAUACUAAUACAUUUUCUCAAUGAUUGCCAGCUUUUUAUGUAAGAGCCAAUAUACGUUCAUGAUGGCAAAUUUAUUGAGAAAAAAAUUUUGUUCAAUCAAGUAACACUCAAUAUUCACAUCGAAUAAGAGAUAAGGAAAAAAAAAUCAUUCUAUGAAUGCAGAAAGGGGAAAAAAAGGAAUAAUGACAGAGAUUUCUAAUUGUGAUCAUUUUGGUGUUUUCAACGUGUACUUGAGUAAAAGUUAAAAUUUUAAAAUUGAAGUGUGUAAGGUAAAAGAGUGCUUAAUUUGCAUUUCAAAUAAUUUCAUUUUUCUGAUUAUUAUUAUUUUUUCAUUAUUUAGUUAAAUGACAACUUGAGUAUCUAUCCACUCAUAUGAAUAAGAUAUCUAAUCAUCAUUUAAGUUAUGGACAAAUACUUAUAUGAGAUGGUCAAGUGAGAGGGGCUUGUUAAAACCCAAUCAAAUAAUAUUGAGUCUUUAAGCUACCAAGUUAAGCUUGCACGGGUCCAAAGUUUUAGCAUCUCCUUUUAUUGUUUGAGUUGAUUUUUUUAACUAACUUUUCUUAAUUAUGUAUAACAGAUGGUCUUGGCUCUUUAUCUUUAAGUCUAAUAUCCACAGGCACAAGCAUCGGAGGCAUCGUUCUCUCCGCGCUGGUGAUAUUUCUCAUCUACAAAUCAAGAGAAUCUGAAAAAGAAAAAGAAACUCAACUGAAGGUGGAGAAGUUCCUCGAAAACUACAGGACCGUCAAUCCCACCCGAUAUACUUACAAAGAACUGAAGAAAAUAACAAGCAGAUUUAAGCACAGGCUCGGUCAGGGAGGUUACGGAAGCGUGUUCAGAGGAAAACUCUUCAACGGAAUCCCAGUUGCUGUCAAGAUGUUGGAACAUUUAAAAGGAAAUGGACAAGAGUUCAUCAAUGAAGUGGCCACAAUUGCCAGGAUUCACCACUUCCACAUUGUUCGGCUUCUGGGAUUUUGCUCUGAAGAAAACAGGCGUGCUCUUAUUUACGAGUUUAUGCCCAAUGGAUCACUUGAAAAAUUCAUCUUCUCUGAGGAAGAUUGCAUUUGGCGUUGCCCGUGGAGUGGAGUACUUGCACCAAGGGUGCAGCCAAAGGAUCCUGCACUUCGAUAUCAAGCCUCACAAUAUAUUAUUAGACCAUAAUUUUCAACCGAAGAUUUCAGAUUUUGGACUGGCUAAGCUGCGCUCUAAGGACAUAAGCAUUGUAUCUCUGACAGCUGCCAGAGGAACUUCUGGCUACAUUGCACCUGAACUUUUCUCCAGGAAUUUUGGUGAGAUCUCUUACAAGUCUGAUGUUUACAGUUAUGGAAUGAUGCUGUUGGAGAUGGUCGGAUGCAGAAAAAAUAAUGAUCCUGCGGUUGAAAUUCAGAGCCAAAUAUAUUUUCCGGAGUGGAUUUACAAUAGAAUGAGGCAAGGACAAGAGGUCUGUUUGGAUUUGGAGGAAGAUGGGGAUGAGGGAAUUGCCAGAAAGCUUGCAAUUGUGGCACUUUGGUGCAUUCAAUGGAAUCCCACGGAGAGACCUUCCAUGCCAAUGGUAUUACAAAUGCUUGAAGCUGAUCUACAAAGCUUGGAGAUCCCUCCAAUGCCCUUUGUCUCGUCUGAUGUUGAGACAUGUGCAACCAAUUGAUCUAGAUAGCAGAAGAUUGCAAUUAAAACGGGAUAUUGUUAAUUUGUUUCAAAUUUUCCCCGAUUAUAAGCAAAAUUAAUUAGUCCUUCCUGUUAUUGGAACACUUGAAAACCAGUAUAUUGAGUUUUUGUUCGAUUGUGGUUGUUUUAUCUAUCGCUUAUCUUUGAUGUGUCCGACUGAUACAACAUUAAUACAACUAGAGAUGACUUUUUUCAAUUUGUCAUAUUAUUUAGGAAAAAGUAUAUUUAUACCCCAAAUUUUUUUAAAAAAUAGUCACAAAAACUCUCAAGUUUUUAAAAUAGGACACCAAGACCCCUUUCUAACCACAAUACCUUUAUAAUCUAUCUAGUAAACUAAUAAUAUUAAAUUAUUUUUCACAUUUAAAAUAAUAUUAAAAUGUUAAAUUAUUCUAUUUAUUUUAAUAAUAUAUUUAAAUUUAUUAUAAAUAUUUUAAAUAAAAUCUUUGGGUUUAAUUUUAAAAUUAACGAAAUAUAUUCCUAUCAAUAAUAUUAAAAUUAUUUUUUACAUAAUAUUCAAAAUAAUUUUUAUUUUAAUAUUAUGUUUCUAUUUAUUUUUAAAAAUUACUUCAACAUAAUAAAAGAGGUCUAAUAGAUUGUAAAAUAUAAAAUUUUUAAAAUGUAUAUAUUAUUACAUUUAUUUUAAUGUCAUAUUUCUAUAUAUUAUAAAAUUUUGUGGGUAAAUUUUUUAGGUUUAUAGAGUUAAAGGCUAUUAUAGUAAAAAAAAAAAGAGGGGGGGUCUUGGUGUCGUUUGUUGAAAAUAUGGGAAUUUUUAUAAUCAAUUUUUCAAUCAUUAGGGUGUAAGUGUCCUUUUUCUUAUUAUUUAUUAUACCCCUCUAUCCUCCUCUACUAAAAUCAAUGUUGCCUAAUUGCUGAUGAAUCUUUUGAUUAAUCAUUUAGUUUCGGAGAAGCAACCAAGUGAGACUUCAAAAGUCUUCCAAAAUGUGCACCGUCGUCUCUGAUUCUGAAGGAGGCCCUUAGAAAUUUCUACUUGUCAAGUAGAUGACUAUUGGUCACUGCACUGCUAAAUCCUAUUCCAUUUACGGCAGACUACAUACCGCAUGAAACACAACAGAGCUCAUUACAGAGGCACAAAAUUGAUACAAAAACAUUUGAUAGAGAGGAAACCUCUGCACCUAUGUACCUUCCCAUACAAGCAUAGGGUGCAUAAAACAUACGAAAACUUUAGUCUAUUUUUAAACACAUCAUUGGAAAAAAUUAAGCAUAACUAUCACUGAAAGAGCAUUCCUUUAUUGAUAGGCUUAAGUCUCACAACAUCCUGCUAGAUCCUAAUUUCUUCCCCAAGGGCUCAGAUUUCGGCCUUUGCAAAGUUUUCAUCCCAAGGAAAAUGAUUUUGCUCCCAUCAGCGCCUCAGGAGGAACAAUAUAUAGGUUAAAAUAUUACAUGAGCUAUGAAUAAGGCGCUGAUCACUCCUCUGUGACAAAAAGUUUUGGAAAUGUUAGAAGGGAGUAUUGACGAUUUGCGAAUGCCUCCAAGACCUUUCUCAUCUUCUUCUCGACAUAUCUCCGGAAGAGAGAUUGAAUCAGAUUCUUCAACAGAGUUGUUAGUGUCUGAAUUAGUGAAGGAAAGUUCUUUCAGUGAUAUUUAGGAUUAAUUUUGCCAAUGAUGAAUAUAAAAUAAAUAAAUGAAUAACUUGCAAUUAAUGACAAAUGUUCUUCUUAUUGCGUUAUCUCGAAUUGAAGCCUAAUGCACACACUUUUCGUGAGUGAUAGAUAAUUUAGUUGUUGAAAUCUUUUGAGUUGAUACAAAAUGUUUGAGAUUUGAAUCUGUCCAUAUGGGUGGCAAAAAGAAUUUAACUAGAGGUGUGCUAAGCUUAACUUAAAACUCUGUGGUGGAAAUUUUCUUCAUUAUUUUAGCCCCACAUUGAAAAGUAAUCACAAAAAAUCAGGUCAAUGGCUUCAUUUAGCUUAUUCUUUAUUAUUGUUUUCUGCAAAUGUCAUGGAGGACUACUCUCUUGUGGGGUUGCCAUUGACUUAAAUAAAAUGCUUUUAAGCCAUACAAAAAUGAAUGGCUAUCUUUAAUAUUACACUAAAAAACAUCUCUCUUUCUCUGUUAAUCCAUGUCACUUUUUCUGAGUUCAAUAAUCUUAUUCCUUCUCUUCCUUACACAGAAGCCAAAACUUCUAAAGGAAACAGCGAUACAAAUAUUUAUGAACGUUGUCAACCAACAAAAUGAAACAUACCAUAUCAGAUUCCCCCUUUAGAAUCAAAUUUAAAUGAUUAAGAUUGCUGAUGAUAACACAGACCCUACUAAGUUUAAUAAAUGAUUACAAUUUACACACGCACUCUUUAUAUUAUUAUACCCUUUAUUUGAACAACUAAAUGUACUUUAUAAUAACUACUAAUAUAACAUUGAAACAAAAACAAAUGUAAUAAAUAAAAUUAUCAUAUAUUUUAUAUAUCAAAGCAUGUUCUGUGUUCUCAUAAAAAAAAUGAAUUAUUGUCUUCGAGUUUGUGGUGAGAAAUUAAAGUAGCGAGCGAAAGAUGUUGACUGGAUUGUUUCAUGCGUGGAAAUUGUUACAAAAUUUUUGUCUCAAUUUGAAGGUUUACUACGAAAUUUCAGGUCAAGCUAGGGUCAUCAUCACCGACGCAAACUUGCAAUCAAAACGUUUACUAAGAGUUAACUGACUUGUAAGAGUGUCCGGUGUCCCCUCUGGCAUGGAUACUAAAAGUCUUGCGCUCAAACAAAUUCAAUUAAUAUGCUCUUUUAAACCUUUUCAAUUUCCCCACCUUUAUUUAUUAUUUUUUUUAAAAUAAGAUAAUACUACUUUUGAACAAUUAAUUAUUGCUAUAUCAUCUUCAGCUAGUAGAAUCAGAUAGUUGAAUGCUAUAAUAAAUUUACUAUAUGCACGUGCUCGUUGUUAAGUAAUGAUGUAAAUGCGCACCCAAAACCUUGAAAAUGCAACCUUCUGUUUAAUUUAUUGAAAUUCAUCAUAUCCUGGGAUUGCACUAACAAUGAGGGGGGAAGAAUCAUCAAUUCUCUCAACUCUUCUGUUUUGUCUAUUGAUCUAUCUAUUCACCGCUGAAACUGAAGCAAGAGAAGUACUUCAACAAACCUGUUCCUCUUCUUGUGGCGAUAUCAAAAACAUAAGCUACCCUUUUCGCCUAAAGGGAGAUCCAUCGGGAUGCGGUUAUCCUGAGUUCGAACUGUCUUGCCAGAGCAACCAAACAAUCCUAGAAUUAUUCAAUUCUGCGAUGUACUAUGUAAAGAGAAUUUCCUAUGACGAAAGCACAAUCAGUGUUGCCGAUGUUAACUUGGCCAAUGGAAGCUGCGGCCUUCCAUUCACAUCUUUUCCCAGAGAAAUCUUUCGCCUUAAAAACAGUCGCUAUUUUUUUUAUACCGAUCGGGUUUAUGCACUUGAUUAUUAUAAACACCUGUACGCCUAUUUCGUGAAUUGCUAGAGGGAUCUCAUUGAUCAGGCUUUUAUAAGAGUUCCAUGUUUGAGUGGAGGAAAUCAGUCAAAUGUUUAUGUUAAUUACCAUGGCUCCUAUGUUUCAGAUUUUUCAGAGUCAUGCUCGUUCGUUUCAAUGGUUCCUGUACAUAAUGGGAAUGUGGAAAAUCCUUCUUAUGAAACCCUCCGAGAAUUGAUGGAGACAGGAUUUGAUCUUAGAUGGUCAGUUGGAUGCAGGAAUUGUUAUGCAGCGGCCGGUAGAGAAUGCAUUAGUACAGAGAGAACGGGAAAUAUUGAUUGCUUCGAUUCUAGCUCAAUUACAAACUGUAAGCUUAUGCUUAUAUGUGCUUACAAAUAAAUGGAGACUCUUUUAUUUAAUGUUUUCAAUCUUAAUCUUUUACGUAUUUAAGAAUUUGUGGACAAUCUCUAAAGAGUAUGUAUACCUGUUUGACCCUUAAUAUCUUUUGCACUUUUGCAGUCUUUGCAGGAUGCCACAUCGCACAAGGAGUAUUCGGAAAAUUUAUUUGCUACCAACAACUUUUGACACGUAACAAGCCUAUGCUUACAUAUCUUAGAUCCUGCGUUUGUUUUUGUUGGUGUUUGUUUGAGGAAAAUACUCCGACGAGACCAGACGUGAUGAGCAGAUGUUUGGUGGCAGAAGUCUGCGAGCAGGUGUGUCCUGUAAGAGCCAGGUAGCAGGGAAACAUGGGCAGGAAUAUCCUGCUCAUCCACGAGCACAUCAUCCGCGAGGCCAAUUUCCUGUAAGAAGCAUAAAGCCAUUCCUGCUGUAUUCUUGCUAAGGGUUGAUUCGAGGAGACCCGGUCAACGACAGUUGGCGAGGCAUGCUCUCCAGCCCGAGAAUCUAGGCACGAAGGCCACGCAACCACCCACGACUACGGAAAUGGGGAAUCCACGUUCGAGAGGUGGGAGGAUAACAGACGUAGACUGCGGAAAACUGGGAUUCAGAGGAAGCCUAUAAAAAGGUAGCCAACGAAGGUAAAAGGGUUAGCAAUUUUGAUUCUAAAAGAGAGAAAACAACCCCACAGCCAUAAGAUUUGUGGCAAGCGUUCCCCGAACCUUCAUAUCUGACUUGAGCGUCGGAGGGUUUGCGCCGGGAAAACAACCGGCGUACUCUGACCUGUCUGUGUGCGCAGGAAUCUCUGGAGAAGAAACUUUACGAGGAGAGAUCCUGGUCGUGAUGAAGUUGAUCGAGCAGAGACCCUGGUCGUAGAACGAGGAGAACCAGAAUCUCGCAUCAACAGUGUUAAAGUGAUGGCCUUAUGUGAUUUGUUUAUUUAUUCUCAAAUCUUGUGCUUAAUAUAUAACUUUUCUGAAUCAUCUCUCUGAGUAUGUAUGUAUAAAGCCUAAUCUUUUUUCCUCGGCCUGCAGUUUCCUACAAACUCCCGACGCCCCUCGAAUGGUUAAUGUUAGGUAUGGUUUCUGGCUGGAAUGCCUGUUCUUGUUAUUUCGAAUUCAGCUACUUACCUAGAAUCAAACUUCCUUGUUUCCAGACGGUGCAUUCUUGUAUCUUACAAUUACUCGGUUCAUCCUUGGUUCAACAGUUUUACUUGUGUUCCUUAUCCACAAAUACAGAACGACAUUGAAAACAAUUGAGAAUAUUGAGAAAUUUCUGCACAACCAUCAAUCGUGGAUGCCUAAAAGGUACUCUUACCCGGAGAUAAUUGCCGUGACAAACCACUUCACUCAUAAAUUAGGCCAAGGUGGCUUCGGUUCAGUUUAUAAAGGACAGCUUCAUACUGGUCGCUUGAUUGCUGUUAAGAUGCUGGAGAACUCCAAGUUCAGUGCGGAGGAAUUCAUCAAUGAAGUUUCAACAAUUGGUAGAAUUCACCACGUUAAUGUAGUCCAGCUAUUGGGGUUCUGUUCCGAGGGAUCCAAACGGGCACUUGUCUACGAGUAUAUGCCUAAUGGAUCACUCGAUAUGCAUAUCUUUCCCAAGGAGAGUAGAGGCCAAUCUUUUAGUUGGGAGAGACUCCAGGAAGUUGCUUUAGGAACUGCCCGUGGGAUCGAGUAUUUACACAACGGAUGUGAUGUCUGCAUUCUUCAUUUUGACAUUAAGCCUCACAACAUCCUGCUAGAUCAUAAUUUCAUCCCAAAGGUCUCAGAUUUCGGCCUUGCAAAGUUUCAUCCCAAGGAAAAUGAUUUUGUGUCCCUCAGUGCCACAAGAGGAACCAUAGGAUACAUAGCACCUGAGCUGAUUUCAAGGAAUUUUGGAACUGUUUCUUGCAAGUCAGAUGUUUACGGUUUUGGGAUGGUGUUGUUGGAAAUGGCUGGAGGAAAAAGGAAUUCCAAUAUGAAUGCAACUCGUUCAAGCAAAGCAUAUUUCCCAUCUUGGGUAUAUGACCAAUUAAAUAAGGGAGGUGAUUUAGAGCUUCAGAAUGUUACUGAAAUUGAGUCCAUGAUAGCAAGGAAACUGUGUAUGAUUGGUUUGUGGUGUAUUCAGGUGAAGGCAGCAGAUCGCCCCUCUAUGACAAAAGUUUUGGAGAUGUUAGAAGGGAGUAUUGACGAUUUGCAAAUGCCUCCUAGACCUUUCUUCUCUUCUUCUCGACAUAUCUCCGGAACUGGAAGAGAGAUUGAAUCAGAUUCUUCAGCAGAGUUGUUAGUGUUUGAAUCAAUGGAGGAAUGUUCUUUCAAUGAUAGUUAUGUUUAAUUUUUGCCAAGGAUGAAUGUAAAAUAAAUAAAUAAUAGAUUGCAAUGACAAACGUUCUCUAUCUUCUUCUUGUUUUAUCUCGCAUUGAAACUUAAUGCAUAUAUUUGUGAGUGCAAGCUAGUUUAGUAGUUGAAAUCUCCUACUCAUAUAGGUGGCAAUAUGAUUUAAUUAGACGUGCGCUCUGCUUUAAAAAGAAAUAAAAAUCUCUCGCAUUGAUUACAAACACUGGAUAGGAGUUGGAAAUUUUAUUCUAUAUUUUUAUCACACAUUGAAAAUUGAUCACAAAAAAACCAAGUCUACACCUUCAUUCAGCCUAUUCUUAUAAUUGCUGUCCACAAAUGUCAUGGAGGACUAGUCUCUUGUGGGGCUGCCGUUGACUUAAAUAAAAUGCAUUUUAGCCAUCCAAAUUCCAAAAAUGAGUGUCAUUUGCUCUUUCACAUUAAGAAAUAUAUCCUCAACCAAGAAGGAAGAGUUAUUAAUAUUACACGAUAAAGCAUCCCUAUUUCUCAUUUUCUCCAUGUCACCUGUGCUUAGUUUAAUUCUCUUCCUUCUCUUUCCUUACACAGAAGCCAAAACUUCAGCAGGAAACAACGAUACAAAUAUUUAUGAAUUUUGUCAGCCAACAACAUGCAGCACGAAGGGACCAAAUAUCAGAUUUCCCUUUAGACUCAAAACUCAACCUAUCUCUUGCGGUCUUGAAGGGUUUGAAUAUCAUGCUUAAACAUCAAGACAGUGUUGCACCUUCCUUCCUCUGGCGAUUAUUAUGUGCAGGACAUUUCUUAUCUUCACAGCAGAAUUACCAUUAUGAAUGUACAUGAGUCCACAUGCCCUUUAAAAACCACCCGAGCGGCUUUGUCAAACUAUAGAUUGACCUAAAAGGGGAGAGCUUAAAUUAAAUAUUUGAAUCUUAUUCUGAUUUUUUAAAAAUAAUUUAUUAGAGUUCAUAAAAAAAGGUUGUAAAUGUGUAAUUUAGAUAAAUAUGAAUACCCAAAUAAAAUUGGGCAAACUUUUAUUUUUCAUGAUGCUUUUUUUUUCCUUUAAAACCAAAAUAAAUUUAGUAUUCAUUCAUGUUUUAAUCACAUGCUUGUUUCAAAAUUUUACUUUCUUACAACGUUUUAUGAUUUUUUUUUUAAAAUGUGCUCGCAUAUUUGUUAAAUUUAAGAAUUAAAGUCCAUGAUAUUAUAUUCAUCUUUAAGUUUCUCGAACAGCUACUUCGGAAGUGAAUCAACUAGAAGGAAAAAAAAUGAACCAAAAAACGGAACAGUUCACGGCUUUAUGCUUUUUUAUGGACUGUGGUUGCCUCAAUGAAUAGCCCAAGUGAUUAUUGGGCUUUUAAUUCGGCUCCUAUGAAAGGCCCAAAGCGUCCACGAUGAAGCAGGUCACAGGAGCAGUCUUAAAUCUCAAUUUUGAAUCUCUCUCAACUCCUCAAGCGGGGUUUCAUUUUGAAUGCCGCCAUUGGCCUCAUUUCACAAUAUAGAUGUGCAUGCAUGGAGGAUAUAUAUACACUGGGUGUAGUUGUGUAUAUAUAACUUAUAAAGUUAUAAUUAUAUUAUGAGUAUAUCUUUCUAUGUAUGUAUGUAUGUAUAUAUGAACAAAUAAAAUAAUAACUAUACGAAAAUUUACAAGUAGCACCUGAAAAAAUAUCAGUAGAUCACUUUAGUUUUGAGGUCCAAAUAAUGCUGCACGUUGAUGACGGAAUACAGAGAACUCAAAGAUUUAAAAUGCAUUUGAUUAAUGGCAUUUUAAUUUAUGUGCUCUCUAUCUUCUAUCAACAAAAUUUCAAAAAAUUAGCGCCCUCUACUUCAAUCAGACCAAACACAUGGACCAAAUAUUAAUGAGGAAAAAAAAACCAAUCGAUACGCUUUUGUCUCCACAAUAAUAAAUAGUUGCUGAAUGGCCAUGGAAGCGUGCAUAUCCACAGCGGCACGAAAUUAAAGUAGUUGAUAAACUAUUUACAAUAGCAAGGACUUUGUAUGCAUGAUGCCAAUUAAAUGGUUGCGGGCUUAAAAGCAUUAAUUUAUGAAGUGCUUGUCCCUUUUAGGCUGGAGAUAAGUCAAGACUACAUUGCUUUCCCUCCUUUUCUUGUUCGCCUUUUGCAAUAGAUACUUUUUUUUUAACUGAUUAAGCAUCAGGUUAUUAUAUUACACAGAGAUAUUUACAACUCUACUAUGACAGCAGAUCAUUGCACUGAUAUUUACAAUCAUAUAUAUACCUAAAACUUAGAUUAUUACAUUUUUAUUUUAUAAAGUACAAGCCCAGCCAAAUACCCCUCACAGAGGAGGGAUGUCUUUACUCCACUCGCAUUUCGCAAGGGAGAAAGAUGUUACAAGCAAUAGAUACGUUAUUAUAUUGUUUUUUUAGCACAUUUUCAAUGAGACUACUAUUCCCAUAUCGGCUGCCAAGUUAACCAUUUGAUCAAUAUUUUAUUUUAUGGAUUUGAAUUCGACAUGACAGAUAUUAGAAACCAAUGGCAUACAACAUGACCAAAUUUUACAUCAAUACAUACAUUAUACUAAUGCAGCUGCGACAUUUGAAAUAAGCGAUUAUUCCAUUAAAUCCAUUUACGGCAGAACUACAUACCACAUGAAACGCAAUAGGACUCGUUCCAAUGUCACAAAAUUAAUAAGAAAACAUUUCAUAGAGAGGAAAUCUCUGCGGAAGUGAAUUGCCUUCAUAAAAUAUCAUAGUGACACUUUGACUCUUGACGGCAAAUAGGGCUACUCAUAGAACCAAUCUUGAAUCGGAAAUGGAGAGUUCUAAAAACCACAUGAAAAAUUAACUUUCGAAGACACAUCAAAAUGUUGCACCAAGCAUAAGAUUCAAGAUAUCCUUAGCUCGAAUCUGUUGUAUGUAAGUUAAGUGGAAAUAUCAGGACACAUUGAUUUUCUUCCCCUCUGCGCCUAACUAGUAUUAUAUCGUUGUGAUGAAUAACAUAUAAAUUGAUCUAAAUUUUUGUCAUAAACUAUAACAUUUGUACUCUAAUCUACUUGAGAUUAAUGAAUGUCAUAUAUGAUUAAAAAAAUUAUUAAUUUCAUCUCUUUUGUUAUUCUAAUAAUCUAUUAUAUGCUGUUAUAUCCCAUGAUCAAACUAUGUAUUCGACUGUUAAUUUUUCAAUAUUAUUUUAUUAUAUAUUUACUUGUUUCCAUAAUCACAGUCUAAUUAAGAAUUUAUAUAUAUAUAUAUAUUUGGACUUUGGUGGUCUCCAUACGAAGCCCAACUCAUAUUGGGAAUUUGAAGUUUAAAUCAUUAAAAAGUUCAAUUAGUCCCCAAUGCGCAAGGAUAGACUAAUAUCCUCAUGGCAUUUUUUGACAUAAUUGAUUUGUCAAAAGUGUGUGUGUGUAUAUAUUGACACACGCGCACGCACGCACGCAUAUAUAUAUAUUGUUAUGCGUGGAAUUCUGCAUAUUUUAACACGUGAAUUUACUAAUAUACUGUAUAUUAAUUAAUUGAAAAAAAUUAAUAAAAACACUAAUGGCAUAUUAGUGCCGUCACACACGCCUACAACAUAAAAACUUAUCAUGCAUUAAAUAGAACGCAAUCGUGCACACUGGAUCAUAAUUUUAAUUAUAUAUAUCUUUCUUUAUUUAUAAAAAAUAAUAAUAAUAAUAGUAACAAUAAUAAAUUAAUAAUUACAACAGCAACCACAAUUUUUAGAAACGCGUGAACUUGACAUGAGAAGUCCUCGUUCUUCUGCGUGUCGGUCGCUUUAAAAGUGUUGGUCGUCGGGGGCCGUUCCAAAUUUCCAAUGCCGCGUUUCUCCAAUCCUGUUAAAAUAAACAAAUAAAUAAAGUAAGCCAUUGCGUUUGGUGGUGAGAAAAAUUAAGAAAGCGAAAGAUAUUGACUGGAAUUGGACUGCAUGCAUGGAAACUGUUUCCAAUAAGUUCUGUCGCUAUUAAUAUUGAAGAACGUUUACUAAGAAAUUUGAGGUCAAGCUAGGAUGGGGAUGGAUGGAUCAUCCCAACGUUUACUAAGAAAUUUGAGGUCAAGCUAGGAUGGGGAUGGAUGGAUCAUCCCAUUCCCACCGAUGCUAACUCAUUUACAAUUACCAGGAAAUUAAGCGACUUCACUUUGCCAUAUUGACUUCCCCAUUGAAAUCUGAAAGCUUCCACCUAAACAAAUCGUGGAAAGAGACUUCAGAAGCUGCGUGGCAUCCGCAUACAAAAUUUACAGUAAGAAACGAAAUUGAACAUGUUUAUCUAGAUUUGUCCCUUUAUCUUCCAUUGCAUUAAUGCUUGAAGCCUACCACUCAGUAAUUAAAAAUUUUCUUCCAUCGUGUCGAUUUCAUUUUAUGAAUAAUUAAUAUUAUUUUUAAACAAAUUAUUUAGCGCUAAUUAAUUCAAUCACAUAGUUGUAUACUAAACUAUGAUAAGUUUAAAGCCCGCUUCUCACCGUGCAAGUGAAACCGUAGAAAACAUAGCGCAUUAACACUUUUAUACCGUUCUGCUUAGUUUAUUCAAAUUCGUUAAUUGUAUCCUGGAAUUGGAGGAGCAAUGAGUAGUGACGAAGCUUCAAUUUUCUCAACUUUUCUGUUUUGUCUGUUGAUGUUUGUAUUCAUCACCAGUGAAAUUGAAGCAAGAAAACUUGAAGUACAAAUGUGUUCUUCCUCUUGUGGAGAUGUCAAAAACAUAAGCUACCCUUUUCGCCUCAAGGGCGAUCCAGCUGGAUGCGGCCAUCCGGAGUUAGAACUUUCUUGCGAGAGCAACAAAACCAUCUUAGAAUUCAAUUCUAGAAAGUACUAUGUGAAGAGAAUUUCCUAUGAUAAAUGUUCAAUCAGUGUUGUCGAUGUUAACUUAGCCUAUGGAAGCUGCAGCUUCCCAUCCACUUCUUUUUCCCGACAUUGUAUUAUUCGGAACAUUUUUAUGAGCUUAUUCAUUAUGCUAUUGAUUCAUACGCCUAUUUCGUGAAUUGCUCGAGUAAUAUUGUUGAUCGGGCGUUUACAAAAGUUCCAUGUUCCAGUGACAAUCAGUCGAUCGUUUAUGCUUAUGUUGGAUAUAAUAGCAUUGGCAUUAGCGGCACAGUAGCAGAUCUUCCAGAGUCAUGCGUCUUCAUUUCAAAGGUUCCUGUAGUACUUAAUAGGAAUGUGGACAAUCCUUCUUAUGAAGACAUCCGAAAAUUGCUGGAGUCGGGGUUCGAUCUUAGAUGGUCAGUUGAGUGCAGGAGCUGUGUUGCUGCUGGUGGAGUGUGCACUACCCAUUUUCGUUGCCUCGUCAUAGGCGAAAGCAACCUAAUUUCUGACUGUAAGCCCAUGCUUAUAUUUAUUUUUGCAUUCAAAUGCAAGGCUUUGUUUAUAUUUUUCAAUAUUGUACGUAAUAAAGAAUUUGUGAACUAUCUCUAAGACCAUACCGAUAUGACCCUUAAUUUCUGUUUCUCCUUCACUUUUGCAACAGUUUGCAUCUACAAUGCAGGAGUAGGGGCAAAAAUUAUUUGCUACCCAUAUUAUAUACGUAAGCAUAUCCUUAUAUAUCUUCUUCAUCAUGUGUUUUCGACGCUAAAAAAUGCGACGGCUUCAUAUAUUCUCUAAUCUUUUACUGUAUAAUUUUUUUCUUAAUCAUCUCUCUGAUUAGGUAUAAAGCUUAUUUAUUUUUUUUCCCCCUCUCUCCAAUUGCAGUUUACAGUAUAAUUUAUGUGAUAAGUUCUCCGUUAGGUAAAAUCUCCUCUCCAGGAUCCUCUUUUUAUUGCUUUGCUUACUACUAUUUACUUUCAAUAAACGUUUUCUUUACCAGGGUUUCCAGUUGAUGUUCUGAUAAUUGGUAGAUUUAUUCUUGCUCCAAUAGUCUUUCUCGUGUUCCUUAUCCACAAAUACAGAACGACAUUGCAAACAGUUGAUAAUGUGGAGAAAUUUCUGCACAACCAUCAAUCGUGGAUGCCUAAAAGGUACUCUUACCCGGAGAUAAUUGCCGUGACAAACCACUUCACUCAUAAAUUAGGCCAAGGUGGCUUUGGUUCAGUUUAUAAAGGACAACUUCAUACCGGUCGCUUGAUUGCUGUUAAGAUGCUGGAGAACUCCAAGUUCAGUGCGGAGGAAUUCAUCAACGAAGUUUCAACAAUAGGUAGAAUUCACCACGUUAAUGUGGUCCAGUUAUUGGGGUUCUGUUCUGAGGGAUCCAAACGUGCACUUGUGUACGAGUUUAUGCCUAAUGGAUCACUCGAUAGGCAUAUCUUUCCCAAGGAGAGUAGAGGCCAAUCUUUUAGUUGGGAGAAACUCCACGAAGUUGCUUUAGGAACUGCUCGUGGGAUCGAGUAUUUACACAACGGAUGUGAUGUCUGCAUUCUUCAUUUCGACAUUAAGCCUCACAACAUCCUGCUAGAUCAUAAUUUCAUCCCAAAGGUCUCAGACUUCGGCCUUGCAAAGUUUCAUCCCAAGGAAAAUGAUUUUGUGUCCAUCAGUGCCACAAGAGGAACCAUAGGAUACAUAGCACCUGAGCUGAUUUCAAGGAAUUUUGGAACUGUUUCUUGCAAGUCAGAUGUUUACGGUUUUGGGAUGGUGUUGUUGGAAAUGGCUGGAGGAAGAAGGAAUUCUAAUAUGAAUGCAACUCGUUCAAGCAAAGCUUAUUUCCCAUCUUGGGUAUAUGACCAAUUAAAUAAGGGAGGUGAUUUAGAGCUUCGGAAUGUGACUGAAAUCGAGUCCAUGAUUGCAAGGAAACUGUGUGUGCUUGGUUUAUGGUGUAUUCAGGUGAAGCCAGCUGAUCGCCCCUCCAUGACAAAAGUUUUGGAAAUGUUAGAAGGGAGUAUCGAAGAUUUGCAAAUGCCUCCGAAACCUUUCUUCUCUUCUUCUCGACAUAUCUCCGGAAGAGAGAUUGAAUCAGAUUCUUCAACAGAGUUGUUAGUGUCUGAAUCGAUUGAGGAAUGUUCUUUCAA